rnacentral:lncRNA from 1 species
CUACCACGCUUAAGCUUUCUUAUCUUACUCUUUCCACUAACGUUAGGACUUAGGCGAGCUGCUGAAUACGAGACACUUCUUUCUCGGCCCUGCGUGGUCUUCCCUCGGGGAUGGGAGAAUAUAGAAGGUGGGUGGGUGGAUCUCUAUUCUCCAUCAGGAUAGGGUUGAUUUGAUUGGCAUUCACGCCUUUUAGAAAGAGCCACUCAAUGCAAUUCUCUUUUAGGCGAAGAGAGUAUGCCCAACUGGAGUGGUUUCCGCCUAUAUUCCAACUAAUGUCAUCUCCAAGAUGGACAAAUCUUCUUAUCUGCGGAUCUAUUCCAUGCCGGAAUUCGACCUGCUAUUCAUGUGGGUAUUUCACUUUCCAGAGUAGGAUCAGCGGCUCAAAUGUGCCGCAAUGAAACAAGUAGCUGGCAAAUCAAAAUAGGAACUAGCUCAAUUCGCAGAGUGACAAGCCUAUUAUUCGCCUCUGCUCUCGAUAAAACUAGCCAGAAUCCAUUGUUUUUAUGACGGGAAUUGCUUAAACAAUCCCAAUCAAACCUUCUCCCAGUGGAAGAACAGAUAGCUACUAUAGCUACCGGAACGAUAGGAUAUCUUGAUUCGUUCGAAAUUGGACAGGUCAAGCUAUUUCUGGACUGGAUGAGUUACGUAAACACCUAAAAGAUACUCAUUCCAAGAAAUUCGAUCUUCUAGCCAGCUUCUAGCCAGGUGGAUAAGGAUGGAAUCUGGUAUCCAAGAAGAGGAUGUUGGACAUUCUUCAUCCCGGAGGGCCGGGGAGAGGAGAGAUAGCAUCACUCUGACUUUGCCAGAAGGAGGAAAAUCCAGAGUUGGCUUUGGGAGAAGAGAAGGAAGCUCUCAGGUUUAGUGAUUCAUACCUGUCCUGUCUUUUGUUUCCAGGGUUUCGAUUUCCGGUCCAGAGCUAGUCUACUUAUUUAUUUUAUACGGAAACGGAAUUUUGCAUAUUAUACGGAAUUUGUCAUACCAGGUUUUCCUAGAGUUGAGGAAUUCUAUCCAUUCCAGGAAAAGCACUGGUUUGAGAAACUACACUACAGGAAAGUACUAAGGAAUAGGAAGCUGCUACUUAUACUUAUGAUUCUUGUCCAAAGAUGCCAGGCCGAGACAGAAACCCAACUAGUGAAAUAGAACGGAUCUCUCUAAUAAACUGGGGUUCUUCUCUUCGGGUUGCUGGUAUCCUUAUAUGGAUCCGUCUUGUCUCCUCGGCUCGAUAAGCUAGCAAAGUCAGUUCGUUGGAUUGGUCUGUCCGGUCUGUCAGUCAGGAAAGCACGUCAAGUCGGUUAAUAGCUCUGGUCCGGUUUCUAACUCGGUGAAUUGGUAUGGUCUGGAGGCCCGGCAAUAACAAUAGCAGACAGGUCAGUUGUUCAAGUCCGUCUGGUUGAUAGGUCAGCUCGGUAUAGAAUCUUGUCUGGUUUCUGAAGUCGGUAAAGUCCAAUCAGUAGAGUGCCAGUUAAGUUCCUCAAGUAAGGAUCUUUGAUUCCUCCAAUUCGGUAGGUAAUCAUAAUAGUCUCGGCUCGGAAUGCGAAGAUGCUGCUAAUCUGUUAAAGGGAUCUAGAUCGCAUUUAUUUGAUAUGCGUCCCUUCUUCAACCCCGGAUGUGUACCUGACGCCAGGGAAUAACGUAGUUCUAAAGUAGUGACUCGUGUCUUGGAGGUCGUCCAUCCAAAUGUUCCUCUUUGCCAUUGCCCGCGUCUACUCCUAUAACCGAAUCGAUGGCCUAUAGCGCCAUGCCAUAAUGAAAUUCUUGAUCAUUUCUUUGUUCGUAACAUGGCGUAGUGUAUCACUGGGUGCCACAAUCCCAUUCAAUUCUUGUCCAUUCAAUACCAUGGAUAUAUCGAUUUCUAUUUUCAGAAAGCUCCUAUUUCGAUUGAUAUCUCUAGCAAAUAUAUGCGUAGCGUAUGUCAAGAUAAAGUAAAUCAAUCCGUAUGACGGCAGGGAGCGGAGGCAGCUUCAACUCAAGUGAGGAGCAAGCUUACCUCGGGCGGGUAGAUUGAUCGGCUCCUUCAUAUCUCGGGAUUUCGCUUAGGCCACCCAGGCCAUACCAUAGAAAAAAGAUCUGGUUUCCUUUCCCUCAUCAACCUGCCGCUGCCGUUCUUUUAUUUCACGAAAGAAUCUUUCCGUCCGUAUUGAGCAACUCAAAUUCCUAGAAAGCCGUUGGUGCACCCACCCAGUGAGUAACUACUAAUGCAGUGAGUAACUACUAAUGUUACGAACAAAGAAACUUUCCAAAAGUGGACCCAACAAGCAAAGCAACGGAUUGAGCUGCACUGCCUUUCGGCGUUUUAGUUAGGCGCAUCCUCUUGCGGGAUGAAAAUCUGCCAUAGCACGCUCCGCGCCUUUGAAGGAACAUUUGCUCGAUGAUGGUCCUAUCCUACGCGGGCUUACUAACGAUGGCCAAGCACGCAGUCAUUCCCGUUCUAUUUGAUAGGGGAAGCAAGCUAGUCAAAGAAGAAGGAAGCAUGGGUAUAGGUAAGUCUAGACAUAUUGACACGGGCGUAUACUGAAAUAGGCAUAAGGCCGCUAACGCUAAGGAGACAGCACCGCUUCUUUGUUCGUAACUAGGACAUGUAUUGAUGCUAGAGGCAGACUCCUGGCACUUAUCACUCCUUAGAUGAAGCAAGACAAGAGUGAGUCCGCUAAGGGACAAGUAUGACUAAAAAAAUGAUGGCAGAUUUUUAUGGAAACGAUUAUAUUUGAGUAUAUUGUCUCAUUGGGUUUGUCAUUGUCGAUAGCUAUUCUUGUCGCCGUUAGGGCGAUGAUCCAUCACAUAAAUGCUAUUAAUGUUGAAACACAAGUAACUGAUAUAUCCAAAGAUGUUCUUAAAGAACAAAUCAUUUCUCAAUUGGAAAUACUCUAUAAAGUCUAUAGAGAUACUACUGAGGGUGUGCACUUACCGGCAGGAGUCAAUCUCCAAGAAGUAAGCACACAUCUAUUUUUUGUAGACGAGAGAGUGAACCUUCUAAACAGUAUCUACUGUGAUCUUAUUGCAAAGGGAACUGGAAGUGAAUACUUUGGCCAAGUUAUACAAUUUCUUCUGGGAUAGCUUGUUGUGGGGCUUUCCGAAGGGUCGUUCUGAGAGUGGUCUCUUUUCUUUAAGGUUGCAUAUAUUGUAGGAGAAGGGAGGGAUCCAGGCCAGGUCUAAAAAGUGCCGAGUUGGGUUUGGGACAAGAUCAGGAAAUAGUGCAUCUUAUAUAGUGGGUGCCAACUUGAUUGCUGCUGGGAUUGCUUGAUAGGAAACUUUGAUUGAUACGAGCAGAUGUGAAUGAAUUGAAAUAGUCAAUAGUGGUGAUAUGAUCCCGGUAUCUACACUCGGAUCUACUUCUGCUACCGAGACUGCUGCUACUGUAAAAGCAUCAGGAACGUGUCAAUUCACUGAAUAAAGUGCUCUUUCCAUUGAUUUAUGGAUGAAAUCAUGAAAAAGAGAAGGAACCACCGAUUCUGCAUCAAAAACAGGGGUUCUGGAGCCAGUUUCUCAAAUCGUAAGUAGAUCCAAUCCAGGGCAGUUGAUAAGUGAGGUUCUCCGGUCGAAUGCAAAUAAGCCAGAGCGUAUCUCUUGUUUCGAGGAAGAAACAAACAUCCUGGUCUCAAUAGAUCUUGAUUCUAUGCAUGCGUCAGACACAUCACGAGCCGGAACAAACGAGUGCUUUCAACUCACGAGCCGGAACAAACGAGUGCUUUCAACAAUAAGCAAUACCCGAGCUUCCUUCUACCAACCAGGAUUCCGAUACCAAUUCCAAUCUGGCACAGCACAAGGAAGUAGCGCACCAGAAGAACCAAUACGAGAACCCUUCCUUCCAGCCAGAAUCCGUCUUUCUUGUCCUUUGCAUUCGAGGAAUGGGAUCUGCCUUGUGGAAACAAAAGCUAUUUGUUCGAGUCAAGCAAGCGGACAGUCAGCUAAGAAUACUGGAAGAGAACUCUCUAGCCCUGCACUUAAACUAGACUAGAAAUCCAAAAAAACACUAGUUUUGGCCCAUAGCGAAAUAGAGUUUUUCUUCUCCGCGGACUCCCCAUGCUUGGCGCCAUAGGCUUUAGGACUUUUGGCACUAGGGAAUCAUACUUUGAUCAGAUCCGUGGACAGGCUCCCGAGGUCAAAUCGGAUUAUGGACUUUUCCAGCUAAGUGAAAACGCACUUCACUACUAGCAAAGAAGUCAGCUCAGGGCAGGGCCGGUGGUAAUCUCAGAUAGGAACUUGCCGGGAUCCUUCCAUACCUGCCAUCCACCACUAGUACUGAUCGUUUCCCAGAACGAGCCAUACCUUUUCCCAGAAUGAGAAUACGGCUGAGGACGAAUAGCGGCGCCUAGCUUUAGUUUCCACACGACACGAUGGAUCUAUCACUCUCUUUAGCCAGGCCAUUCUCUAGAGGAGAGUUCCGAGAAUGAAUUCCAAUCUGGUACCAAUCGUAGAAAUCGUAUUGUAGAGUUCUUCUCACGCCUAGCACAGCUACAAGAAUUCCUCGAAUGCAGAGACAAGACGGAGGAUAUCUGAUCCCGCGGAACAUCUGCUACCAACUACGGAUUACCUUGUUUCCAUGAAAUCCAUGUUUCUGGCACCUUGGCCCCCUCUACCUACGAAAUUCUGAUUCCUAUGGUUGAAGAAAGUACAGCGUUGUCAAUUCAACCUGAAAAAAGGGGAAUAAGUUGACAAAGUCAGCUUGAAUAUUACGGUAUGGAUCAAAGGAAGCUAUACCCGCCUUGAUUUCUAUCAAACUUAUUAGAUAGUAAAGCAGACAAGUCUGAAAUGGAAUGUUUGAUCGGUAUAUGUAGGGCUCUCAAAAGAGAAUCUAUUUCAGCAUAGUUGAUUUUCAGAAGCCAACUAGAACUUCGCAGCUGCCGUAUAGUUGAUUGUUCCCACCAGUUUCGUUCUCAUCUGGUCAGUUUCACGAAUGCAAGGAUUUACUACGACUCUCAGGUGUAAACCUUGGUCAUAUACAGCGGUGAACUAGCUAAAUAUAGCUAGAGGAGUAAUAUAGCUAAAUAUAGCUAUAGGGCAUUCCACAGAGGUGAAAUUCUCUCGGCAAAGCAGAACAAGAAGCAGCAGAAAGCAAAACUCGAUUAUCGAAUAUAUAAGGAAAGGGGCGACGGUUUGGCACCAGAUAUCCAGGGGUGUGGAAAGAGCAGCUGUGAAAAGCGGAAAAACCAUCAAAAAACGACGAUUGCUCGUGAAGGUUUCCACAGAAAGACCCCUUGGUUCUGGCAAAUAGAUCACAAUUACAGGUACCUGGGAGCAUACCGAUGGAAUGAACAAAAUACGAACAGUUAACAUAAUAUAGUCAUAGAUCUUAGGUUGUAACUUGAUCAUGAGCGAAUUUGUUAAUGUUGCACCCACGAAGUAUGGAAAGUGCCAAACAUUGGGAACUACCCGGGGAGGAGUUAGGAGCAGGAACAAGGAGAAGCGAGAACCACUUAAAUGGAGGAUUCUAUUGUAUUUCUGCCUUUGUUCCCCAUAGCAACUGGGGAUCGAAAAGCACCAAAUUUGAUGACUUAUUAAGGGAAAGACGAAGUAAGAGCAUGCUAUUGAAGUCUCGUAUGGUAGCUCUUUAACUUCCGGGGAUAUCUAAAUAUUGAACCAGUGAUUCAAAAGAAUGGCAAGUCAGCGGUUAUGUGUUGACUUCAGAAACAGGAAUCUUGCCACACCAAAGGACGAGUAUCCAAUGCCGAUAGCUGACCUACUGGUAGAUUCGGCAGCUUGUAUUGAGCCUCUUGGAUGCCCACUCAGGAUAUAACCAGGUGCCAAUCGCCGAAGAAGAUAUUAACAAGAAUUUAGAUGCCCUGGUCCAGUUGGUGCCUAUGAUUUGUCGAUCAAUUCCUCGGGUCAAGGGGCGCACCUAUGAUGUAUAAUCUUCACUACUAGUCAAUCCAGGGAAAUAUUCCUUCUGGCCUUUUAUAGAUGGAUACCUUUUUCUUAGAAAAAAUCCCCUUUCAGGUUUAAUGAUCAAGCAGCGGGGUACCGAUUAUCCUCUUUUUGCCGGAGGAAGCGAGGAAACAGAGCUAACGGAAUUUCAUUGUAAAGAAAAUGACUCAUAAGGAGGUCAGUCAUAAAAUCCUUAAACACUAGAUCAUGACUAUAUACCCGGAUCUCAUUCCUUGAAAGAUCCCAGGUCGCUUCGCUUAAUCAAAGAUAAGAAAUAUCAUAGCUGCUUACGAAUGCCAUCCAACGAGGUAGAACCACCUUCUAAUCCUUAUGGAGUUUAAGAACAACGUCCACUUGGAUUUUCUAUACUAGUUAGCCGCAGAAAAAGACGAAAGCGAGCCAAAACAUGUAAAUCAAAAAACAAAAGAAGGGAACAUCCACUGCUGAAAUACACUUGCAUCGUCGUUAAACAGGAACUCAAAAACGGCACUAUAGCAUUGGAAUUAUGGAAUUUGAAUGGAUUGAGUACAUCAAGAUGAAGAAAUUAACGUAAUAAGCGAUAUUCUCAAAAGAUUCGGUCAUGCCAGAAACCUUAGUGUGCAUGGCACUAAAAAAGGGUACAAAGAACCUGAGAUGCAAGUAAUGGCUGAAUAGCCGGGGAAACACUAAAUAAAGACAAGUGUCAUCCGGACUUACUUGAUUGAUUGAAUCGAGAGAUGGAAAUGCCAUUGAGAGAUUAGAAGGGAUAGAGAAAACGUCAGAUAGAGGUCGUGCUUCUGCUCAGUCCAAAAGAACAAUCUGAGUGAGGAUAAGGUGGUUUAUGUUAGGGUCCGAGAAAGCAACUUGACAUGCCAAUCCUAUCAAGAAUUCCACUCUUUCUGGUCAUGUCAGAAACCACCUCUUGGAAAGCAGAUCGAAAGCCAAUCGUUUCAGAAGAUGAUGACCCUCUUGUGCUCCUACGUUCCUGCUAGUUGGUGGAUGAAGAAUAGGAGAGAGCUUGCUUGAGUAGAAGAUAACCCGCGAGAAGGAUGUUUUGUAGCGCUUUCUCAUACAAAAGGAAAAGGCGUCACGACCGAUCGAUAAAGAAAAGAACCGCAGCGCUGUCGCCCACCCCGCUUUGGGCACGGGGAGGCGAGAACCACCGCUUUUAGGAAAGAAGCCUACAAUUUGAUUCUCGUCUCGUUUCACUUGCAUUUUCUUUCGUUCAAUCUCGUUCUGAGAGUGGAAUCGAACCACUCACUCCGUUUGGAUUUCGAGUCCAAAGGGCCCAGCCAGCGAAAGAGGAUUUACAGUCCCACGCAGCCUGCCAGAACCUUUUUCUUGCUUGAUUUUUAUACGAUUUUUUGAGCAACUAGCGCGAAAGCCGUUGCGCGUUAGCGCAUCCGUUUUCUUGCUUGAUUUUUAUACGAUUUUCUGAAGUGAUCUGUCCAACUAAGUAGAAAAGGACACUAGAGUGUGGCUACACGUGGUAUAGGGCUGCUCGUCCCGCCUGGUGUUGAGAAAUGACAUCCAAUCUUUCGGUACCUAGAAUAUAUUCUAGGUGGAUAAACUUAUUUUUGAUCAGCAUCAAUGGGAGAUCUGAUGUUUUAGAAUGACCUUCCCCCGAUCAGAGAAGGGGCUUGGUCUGGAACGGAUUGAGACGGAAAGCGGUAAUCAAUCGCCGCGUGGUGGAACGCUUGUUGGAGAAGGGUAAGCGCCUCCAUGUCGUAGGGGUGGGUAGGCCAAUAGAAGACUAGGGAACUUAGCCUAGCCACUCAGUUCUGCCCCGAGCCAAGUCUAUUUAGUGUCAGCGAACACAUACCACUAUCUAUAUAUAGGUUUUUCUUUUUCGUAGAGGUUGUCGCUUAGGUCCUUGGACCCUUCCUUCAUGAAGCUUGAGGAAGCACUCACUUUUCUAUCCACGGCAUUCUUGGUUCUGCACUUAGUCUUGAACCUGUGUUGGUUUGGGACGUCAAUCUCAUUCGUCAGCGGUGUGUGCCGCGUACUAUGAUUGCUUUCUUCUUGCUGUCAAAUCCCAGUCUAUCUUUCACUGAGCUUCCUUCGCUUGGAAUUCAAAGUCCAAAAAAAAGAAGAAAGCGUACUGUGAGGUAUGAAUGAUCAAAUGUCUACGGGUGUCAUUGAAUAUCAUGGGGUACGAACUUCUAAGGUCAUGGCGUAGGGUAUUGGAUAGGCUGGUCCGCUGGUCGAAGUCAUUGCAGGGUGUGCUACGGACAGCUAUUGUUCCAGGGCAUUUCCUUUCUCUCGUCAUCACGCUAACAUACACAAGGCUUGCCUUCACAGGGCCCCACCUUGACUUGCCAUCAUGGCUACACUCUUUUCAUCAAAGCAACUCUUCUUAAGAAGACCCCUUGGUCCCCACAACGAAGUUCCUCCAUAGAGAACCCAACUGCACAGCACCAUCGCAAAGGUUUCUUCGUAACUCGAUUAGUCUCACUCAAGAGAACUCAUCUACACGGAAGGUCUUUUAAGUGCCAGUUGUACCCGCACAGAAGUUCUGCGCCCUCAACUACACCAGGAUGCCCCCUGCAGUAGCAUCACAACUUUUCUCACCAUGGACAGCUCGCCAGUCUUCUUGCAUCAGCCACACCUAAUUACAAAUGACCUUGGCCUCUCCAUGCUCGUCAUUUACAUUUAAACUGCACACCCCCUUGUUGAGGUCUUACUCCAAAGGUACGGCCUCUAGCACAUGACCAUUCCUCACUCAAGUCAUCGACACCCUCGUCGAUGUAUGUGUUGAAAGAAGAAAUUCCACUAUCUCUCAAACGAAAUGAGGUUUUUGAACUCCUAUAUAACAGAGUUUCAUUGAUGCCAAAGGGGGUUUUCCUCAAACGAUUGGAACCAGAAUAAAAUAAAAAAAGAAUGAAAGAGUCAAUCUAUCUUAGUCAAGGCGCUCGCUCUGCCACAAAGGGAGGCACUGGCAAAAUCUAAAUAGAAAAGAAUAGUGUGGUUCAGCGUUGCUAUCCCUCGGUCUCCCCAAUCAAGGGCUUAUAGCAACCUCUAUCAACACAACUAUCCGAACACCUAUUGCUUGCUUUAGCUCCAACUACUGCUAGCUUUAGCUGCAACUAUCUUCCGACUCUCUACUUGUUCGUUGCCCGACGCGGCUCUGCCUCUGCCUGUUUUUGAGCUCAAUAAAAGAGAAAGUUUCAUGCCAGUAUGGGCGAAAACCAUCAAUUUUCACAUUCCCCUAAUAAAUGGGUGUUUUUGAGGUCCUUUUUCCGAUCAGUUUCAUGCCAGUAUGGGGUCAAAGUAUACAAAAAUCACAUUCUCCCCGUAGAACGCUGUUUUUAGAGCUCUCCUUUUUUGGAAACUUUCAUUGCGCAUAGUACGAAAACCAACAGAAAUCCCACUGGCAAAGGUGUUGUGCCGGUUGCCGACCAGGCGAUCGACCAGCUUCCGACCAGAAGCGUUGGUCCAGUGAGGUGAGCCACGACCAGAACAGAGCUGUUACAAAGGAAGCCCACUCCCUUAUGUUCUGAUGGGAAAUAGGACUAGGAUCUGUAAUAGUUGUAUCUGCUUUCCUUUGGUUUGCAUGGGCACGUGAUACAUUCCUAGCAUGACGUUGGAACAAGCAAGGACCCAGCGUGAUCCAGAGGGCAAGCCCAUCCCGGGUAACUUUGUAUCCUGACCCAAGCCGGAAGUUUGUCGAACUUGUAGUCUAGGACAUUGGUAGGGAUCCGCAUGGGCACGCUGAACAAUCCGAUGGCCACCCACAACACGAAACAUCGGCCCCGCUCGUAGCGCUUGCCGAUCAUCCCUAUCUCUACCGGGCCCAUAUUCCCCGCCUCGCUGAUACUUAUUCAUUUCUUUGAAUCGAUAAAGAUGGGUAUCCAUGCCUCUUAGUUCCGGGGAGAUACUGGUUAUGCCAGUGUGGACAAGUUCAAAUGGAGCAAACCCGCAAGAGCAUGGAGCAUAGGAUUUGAAUUAGCCCAGGAGGCGCGGGCGAGCAACUAAAGCCGACUUCCUUCCUCUGAUUGGAAUUGGUUGAAAGGAAACCGGAACUGGAAGAUUGACUCGGGGAAACAGGAAAUCCUUAAUGCCGUGGGAAAUCCAUUGAGUAUCCAAGGAAAAGGCAAGCUCAAGGUAUUCUCCCCAAUCUUUCCCUUUCGGUCAGACAACACUGGUCAAUAGGAUCGGGUGGGCUGGGCACAUAGCCGGAGAUAAGAAAUGGCAACAAGGCUCAACAGAGCAGAGAGACAAGAAUACCUAUAUAGAGACAUGAGAAAGAAUAAGCCAAGGACAAAACGAGAAUUCCGCAUCCGGUGAAAGCUGAAGUCACAUAGGGAAGGGAGUUUCUGCAGAUGGAGAAAAGGGAGAUAUCACACUGUGUGUGAUAGGUUAUUAGCUGGAGGAUUGAGAUUGGUAUAUGGCAUUCAGAUAGUCCUUCUGAACUAAAAUCAUGGAAAGACUAGGCUCACCAGGCAGGGAAAGCUAGAUAUAGCCUAAAAAACCUCCACUUACGGAUUCACAUACUGGUUGGUAUGUUCAUCAAGUUCUCGAUUACUACUUACGGUGCCCACUGACUCCCUUUAAUGGUACGCCAAGAUAUCGCUCAUAACGACUGCAAAGGCAUAUUUAUUAGCCAGCUGUGGGAUACUGCCCUAAAGCUGCUGUUCCGGUGAUUAGAUCAAAAUAGAGUUCUUUCUACAAGAGCAUCUCAAGUUGGUCAGGCGUCCCCAGGAGUGUUUCGAUAUCAGCAAGCACAUUCUAACUAUCUAUAAAUGGCAUUUCGAGGUGAGAGAGAGUUCCAGCAUAUUAGACAAAAGAGUGGGUAGACACAUGCGUUGAGGCAUUCCCUACAACAGGUGGAUAAAGCCGUUUCUAGGCCAUAGAAAAACAUAGCAUGUGACAUUUAUUUACAUAGGACCAAGCAUAAUCGUUUUAGAUAAGAAUCAAUCAGCAGGUGAAAGGCAAGCACUUCCUUCCCUGAAUCCUACUCUUGCCCUAAAAAAGUACUAACUAAAGCCAAAUCGAAUGAAAUAUGCCUCUCUACGCGAAUAAGCAGAAGUGAGCCCAAUAGAACAGAUCAGGAAAGAGUUUACUAAGCUAUCGCGCGCAGUAAAGAGAAUACCAUAUCUAGUUCCUGGCUAGCUCCCAUCUUCGAUGCAUGGAUCUGACUAACCGGAGAUCGGACUCGUGUGCUUGAAUCAAAAGAAAAUACCGGUAUUCUGUUCCAAAUUAGGCUUGUAAUUAGAGUUACCAAUGGUAAGGAUUGGCGUGGGUUUAGAGUGGGUAGCCCGCUCGCUAUCUAUGUCUUUCAUUCCCAUGGAUUGGAAAACAUCUUACUCGCCAUGGGGCGAAACUUCUCAUCGUCAGCCUAAGUGAUUGUUUCUGUAAGCUAGAGAGAAGUACCCUUGAUUGGGUGCUUCGAACGCCCUUCGGGAAGUGAAAGUGAAGGUUGAUCAAUAGCUUGAAUCAGGACGAUGCCGCUUAGAAAAGUCUUCUUUCUUCCUUUUCAUUGUGACUCAAAAGCCACAAACAAGGGUUACUAUUCAGGAGUGGAAUUGCAUUCUGUACAAUGGGCAUUUUCAUUUCUCUUUCUGUGCUAUGGCUAUGGUUGACUUCUGUCUCUCGACAUGUAGAGAAGCUGAUCAAAAGGAAAUAGUCUUCCAGAUGGCAAAUAUGUGAACCAUAAACCGUAGAUUUACCACCAAUUGUGACUCAGGGAGAUGAAAGGUAGAGAAUGGCUUAUUCGUAAAAGAAGGCUCCCAGCCAAAUAUAGAAUAGAAAGGAAGGGGCAUCCCCGUGAGAAAACCAGGUGGUGUUACUUUCCUGCUUCCACCUGAACCUGCUUGCAGGCCUUAUAGAAAAGUCUUGUAUAAGAUAACUAGCUUGACAACAGGAAUUCUCUAACUUACUUGUAGAUAACGAACUUGCUGAAGGAGGUUAAGAUAGUUUUCCGUUAAUGGGGAGAGAGAAAAAGAGUCCUCGCUUUCAUAAUCGGUAAUCAGAGUCCAGGCUUCCAAAAGCCAUAUUUUACGACAACCUAUGAACCGACUAACUCAACAGCUGGCCUUAGAGAAACUGUCCUAACUUAUCCAAAUAAAUAGCCAUGAUGAAAUACUCUUCCUUUCCCUGCGGCACUCGCUUGAAGGACUCGAAAGCUGACUAAUGCUGAUAGGAAAACAGAGCUUCCUUCAAACGCUGAUCGAUACCAUCCACCAGAAGAAAACGUGACCGCAACUACUUCCCGAAUCAACACCGUCUGGAGGCUUUGCAUCUGUAUUUGGAGCUGGGCAUGCAUCCAUUGAUUCUAGCACUUGGAGCUUUGAACGCUCGAAAGAGAAAUACAAUCUCCGCCCUACAAGUGGAUCGAUAGGUUCAUACAUCUUGUAGUCGGUGCAGUUCUGGGAAGGAAUGGGCUAGUAUGAGUUCUGGUUUAGUCAGUAGUUCACUUCUCCCUUCUUGUCCGCUCUUGCCCACCCCUUUCACUUUCUUUCCUAAAUGUGUGACUGAUACCAAUCCCUAUGUUGUACACUCUUCCACUAACUAGAGAGAACCAUGCCUGAAGUAGAAAGAACCAAUUACAAGUGUUCAUAGUGGUCUAAUAAAAUAAACCCUGACCGUGAAGGUUCCUAGUGUUGAUACCAGUUGUUGUAGAUAAUGGAAGGAAGCAACAAAACAGAGAGAGGAUCAAGUGUAAUCUUAACUACAUCUCAGCUCUUAUACAAAAGCUUAUGUUACAAUACAUGGUACCAGUCCAAUUUAUAGAAAAUAGCAAACCGACACAAAGUCAUUAUCGACUCAAGUAACAACUAUUUCGAUUUUGUUCACAGCUCAUUCCUAGCUAAGACAUAACGGCGGGUAGGCAAACAACUUGAUUCAGGUCUAGUUUUGUUUGGACUUGGGCUUAGAUGUAGUGGGUUCUUGGGCCACUGCUUUACCUUUAUCAACCUUAGAAGGAGCAUUAGUCUUUGACACAUCAAUCAACCCGGCGUAGGAGCAUGGGAUUUGGACACAUCAGCACCAAACCUGUUGUUGAAGUCGAGUAUGAGCUUCUAUUCUAUCCAAUCGAAAGAAGAAGCAAAGGCUUUUCUCCUUAUCUUUGCAUUUAAGUUCUCGAAAGGAGAAUCGGAGGCUUUACACCUAUCUUUUCUACUUGCUUUUCGUUUUCUAAAAACAAGAGAUCUAGGAAAUGAAAGGAAUUCAUUAUCGAUAAGCUGUGGGUAGAACAGCACAACGAUAGAAACAUGAGGAAAAUCGUCUUCAUCAAGAAGAUAUUUAGCAAUUUUUUCUAUUUUCUAGGCGGAAGAGAUAAAAUAAAUAUUGUUACUGGGCUAGGAUGUUCAUUUGGGAAGGAUCUCGGAUGAAGCUCCAGAGUUCUUGACCAGUGGAGUCAAGUGGAGAAGGCGUUACUUGAUAGGAAAGCAAAUUUUUUUUGCAGGAAUUGUUGUUGUUUCAGCGCGGUAACGAAGGAUGUCUUUCUACCUGCACUUGACCCCGGAAAAUUGUGGUGUUUUCUAUCUUAGAGGAUUAACCACGCCUUUAUGCAAAGGCGAUGCCGAAGAACAUAAGCGGUUGUUUAAAGCAGUGGCGGCGCAUCCGCCUCUAUCCAUCACCAGAGUCUUUCUAGGUUUGUUCAAUAUCAUUUAUAUGUCAUAUGUCAAGGGCUAAAUAUACGGUAGCCGAUUAUAUACUCCGCGUAGGGCGAAGUUUGUCCCAGUUGGUAGUUAUAUAUAGGUAUAGCUGGAGCCCUAGACAGUCUAGCCAUAUACCAUAUCAUGGGUUGUGGGCUACUCUGGAAGGAGUGGUGACCCAGCGCGAUAGGUUGCUUUUACUAUUACAAGACUGGCUUCCUGGUCAAGUCAGCCUCCUUGAGUUUGUCUUACGGACGGAGUGGGCUUUUCCCCAGGGGGUCUAGUUUUAAGGCAAGUAGGCCUAUUGAGAUGCAUAUAACUUUUCAUCUUAUCACCCCGCCUAGCGACUUUGCAAGCAUUAAAGGCUAGGCACCUAACAGCGGUUAUUCCUCCAACAGGUUAUUCUGGGUUACGCUAAACCUUCAAGCCUUUUACCAGCAGAUGAAUACUUAAUCUAUCCCCUCUGCGCACGGAAAGGGAAAGCUACUCUUCAAGAGUAUAUGCCGAAAAUCCUAUGUUUGGAGUGACCAUGAACACACUGCUUGAGACCCUUCUUUCGUGAGACAGUUGUGAUUCCGCUUUCAUGUUUUGGAUUGAGCUUUGUCACUCUUUCUAUGCCUCUUUCUUUUUCUUGGAGGACAACACACACGCGGCGCUAAGGUUCCCGUGGCAACUGAACUAGGAUUCGAAGCCAGGAUGAGCGGAUCUACCGCUCCAGGUCCUUUCCUAUUCUUAUACUAAUAUGUGUAAGUUCCUUGCGUUUAGAACUAGAACGUGAGGCAUAGUAAUGGCGCAUGUGUGAUAUUCUAUUGAUCCUGUUUAGGCUGCUUUAGGAAAGCACUCAAGCAGGAAUGGAUAAAAUGUCUUCUGCUGCAAUCCUAACUGCAAUGGCCCUCGCAGCUUUAGUGCAACAAGCCGAUCGAAAGCACUCAUCUUUAUCGACUAAAUGCUUUUUUGUCUCUUCCUCACUAAACGCCCGCUUCCUGGCUCCUCCCUCUUUGCCUAGCGGUUAAGUAGAUAGUAGGUCCCCCCCUGGCCCCGCAACCAAGAGUCACUCGUCGAAAGCUGACCAGGAAGACAAUAACUGCUAUUUCAAGAAAGCAUGGUUGGAGUUCUUCUAUUGACGAAGGGAAGAGGACGGUCUUACUUUUCAGAGAUACCUGACUUAUUAGUGGACUGGUCAUGUCAUAGCGGAAGGUCAGAGGUGGGAAACAAGGAAACAGAGGAAAUGCUUACUGGGACAUAGCCUUCGGUACGAGUUGAAGGGAAGAGGUUUGAUUGCUAAUAAAAUGAGUGGAAGAGCUGCUCGGUCAAAGGCAUUCUCUCAAGUAGCAAAGGCAAGACGGAAAAGCAGGAAUGAAGGUUGCUAGGUACCGCUCCGUGGUAACAUCUAUCGAUUCCGCUAUCGGGAAAGUCUGGCAAGGGGAAUAUCUGGCUGAGGAAUUAGAGGAACUUUGGUAGCACUCGGGGACGGAAUCAAUCAAAGAACUUAAGAAAUUGCCCAUACCGACAGCAGCUCCCGCUUUAGAAAAAACCCUAUCUCAUCAGGCAGGUAUACCUGACCCUUUUUUAGCUAGUUUCGGGAAAGCGGUAAGUUAAGUAAGUCAAGCCCUUCUAAGCGAAGAAUAGCGGAGAGAAAUGGUAACGUAAUAAGGGAAAGGGAGCUAGCUGCUUCCAUAUCGCCCCCAAAAAAGAACCAAAAAGUUCCAGAGGCAUCUUCCAUUCAUUUCGAUUUAGGUCUUUCUGCACCAUAUUUAGAUCUUCCCUUUCUACGAUCCGGAAUUCCCAGCAAAUCCUUGACUCCUCGAAUACGAUGGGAUUUCACACCUGGCGAAUCUUUCACUCUACCUCCUCUGACUAAGACUAUAGAAUGUUCCUGCGAAUUAUGACCUUCGCCUGGAAUGUGAGCAAAUAUAUCAUGUCGAUUGCUCAACCGUACUUUUGCUAUCUUACGUAGAGCUGAAUUAGGUUUUUUCGGUGUUCUCGUCGAAACACGCAGGCAUACUCCUUGCUUCUGGGGACAUUGAUCCGAAGCUCGAGUACGGUCCGUGCGCCGUUUUUCUUCUCUACCAUGACGAAUCAAUUGAUUUUUUGUAGGCAUCCCUCUUUCCUAUGUCCUUCCCCCCUUUGCCCUUUCAAAAGUGGUUACUCCCGAUCCGAAGCACCCCUUUUCCAUUCAUAGAGAGAUCCAAUCGUCAAAAUCAAUAAAAAGGCCAUCAUGGACCAAGAUCCAAACAGAUCAAUCUUGUUAGGAGGUACUGCCCAAGGAAAAGAAAAGGUGACUUCCGGAUCAGGGAUAAUAAAUAAAAUAGGAACCGGAUAAAAUCGUAUAUCGAAACGACUUCUGGCAUCACCGGAGGGAUCGGAACCACAUUCGUAGGCCGACAAUUUUUCUGGAUAGGUCGAACUAUUGGAAGCAAAUGGAAAAGGAACACCGAGUGGAAUCAAAGAAACUAGCGGACUGAUCACUAAAUAGAUACAAAUAGGUGCAAAUUCCGACAUCACCAAAGCCCACUUCGUUCUCUCGCUCUCCUCGCGGCGCUCCUUGCUCGCGGAGCGGCAUACCGAAAAAAAUACGCUCAGAUGUGGAUUCGAACCACUGAAGGAUUUCAAGGGCAAUGCCCCUUGCUCUUCCCACUGAAACAAGAAAAAAAGGAUUUGCAGUCCAGCAAGAAAACGGAUGCGCUAACGCGCAACGGCUUUCGCGCUAGUUGCUCAAUCCGUUGCUUGUUUUGCUCUAACCAGCUGAGCUACCAGAACCACUUGCCUAAAGUCUCUUUUCUUCAUCUAUGAGCAUCCUACCUGCAGUGGAGGAGCUUGCUCAAGAACCGAGAGCCGGCCAGGGACUGGACGGCCCUCGUNNNNNNNNNNNNNNNNNNNNNNNNNNNNNNNNNNNNNNNNNNNNNNNNNNNNNNNNNNNNNNNNNNNNNNNNNNNNNNNNNNNNNNNNNNNNNNNNNNNNAGUGCCAAAUAGUCAACGUCAUUGUGGAAAAUAAGAAAAAUGCACAAUAUUCAUCAUCUAUUUCUUAAUCAAUGGAAUGUGACACCAUGACACAUUUAGUCGCGCGCCCAAGUUGGAUCCGAGACCGUUAUAGACAUACUUUAGAACGUAGAUUCACUCAUUUUGCUUCGUAUAUACUCAUCUAAUGAAAUCUAUAAAAAAACUUAAGAACGUAGAUUCACUCAUUUUAGGAACGGAGGGAGUAUACUAAGUGAAUCAAGUAUCCAACGGUGCAUCAAGGUUAACGGCAAUCAAGAUUCAUAGUGCAAUUCUUCAAUCCUUCUUGCACUUGCACAUAGGUUAACGGCGCCGUACGUGGGCGAGAAGGCCGGCGGCGAGGGCGAGGGGCGACGGCGGGCGGCGUACGUGGCCGGGCAAGGGGUGACGGCGGGCGGCGAGGGCGGCGUCGAGGGCGAGGGGCGACGGCGGGCGGCGAGGGCGGCGUCGAGGGCGAGGGCGACGGCGGGCGGCGAGGGCGGCGUCGAGGGCGAGGAUCGGAGAAGACGAGAAUCGGAGAAGACGGCGGCAGGCCUUGUAUUUAUAACCCCCACCUUUAGUCGCGGUUGGGGAGGCGACCCGCGACUAAAGGUAACCUUUAGUCGCGGUUGGAUAAACCAACCGCGACUAAAGGGUUUUUUCGUUCCGGCGCGCAACGACCUUUAGUCGCGGUUGGUCUGGCCAACCGCGACUAAAGGUAUUUUUCAAAAUACUUUUCUUUUUCAAUAUCUUAAAAAUACAAAUAAUAUAUCAAAAAAUUCAGAAAAAUAAAACUAAUUCAAUUCAAUAUGUUAAAAACACAAAAAAUUAUAUCAAAAAAUUAAGAAAAAUAAAACUAAUUCAAUUCAAAAUGUUAAAAAUACAAAUAAUAUAUCAAAAAAUUCAGAAAAAUAACACUAAUUCAAUUCAAACGUCCUUAUCCCACCGACAGUUUUCUUAGAUGACACAAAAACCACAUUUAGUNNNNNNNNNNNNNNNNNNNNNNNNNNNNNNNNNNNNNNNNNNNNNNNNNNNNNNNNNNNNNNNNNNNNNNNNNNNNNNNNNNNNNNNNNNNNNNNNNNNNUCGGGAAGGUCUUCUUCGCUAUAGACGCCACCAAGAACAAGAAAGGGGCGCUCCGCUCCUAGUCACUAAGCAGCUAUUCUGUCCGACGGUGGACUCCAUCAAUCUGAGGUUCUUUCUCUCACGUAAUUUCGCCCGCCCGUUCUACUUCCGUGCCGGAGGAAAUGGGAUUCGAACCCAUGAUACAAUCUUCUUGUAUGUCGAUUUAGCAAACCAAUGCCUUAAGCCACUCAGCCAUACCUCCAAGUUGUUGAUCGGAAUUGGAUGUGCCGGGUUGGUUGCCCGAAGAUCCACUGCGUAAGCCGUAGCGCGCGUACUCUUCUUUACUGAGCGAGAAAGACUCUAUCCAGAUCUAUGGAUCUCCCCAGCGUCCAAGCGAGACCCCAUCCAAACCAAAUCCUCCACUCGUUGGGCGAGACCUUGCUUUCUAUGAACACCUCACCACUGAAUGAGAAACUUAGCCUCCGACCCGACCAAGAGAGAAGACAGGGUCAAGCCGACGCCGCCCUUCCUCACCUGCCUGAAUGGAAUGAAUAUCUCCUUCGUCUAGUCGAGAAGGGAAAAAGCCCGGCGGGGAACAGGACCGUGACUCUUCUAAACCAUUACAUGACGGAGAAGUCCAUUCUCGUCAUGAUCGAUCCACGUCCUACCAUAGUGCCCGGAGAACCUGCUUCUAGAAGAUUCUAUAGUGAUCCACUGGAAUCGGCCUCGGGUGACGCCUCCCUAGUCGUCGAAAGAUUUCAUCCCUCGCUCGGUCGUUAAGGUGGGGUGAAAACUGCAAUUAAUGCUCUAUCUCCGUCAUAGAAUAUGGGAUACUCACUUUCAAUGGCCUCGCAUCCCCAGAGCCUCAGACUGGCCUGCCCUUCCAAUCGGGGUUAUAACGGGUCCGGUAUCAGCAACACCAGCCAAUCGUGUUGGUACGGUGGGUUCCCCAUACCCACUAUUCGGAAAAAAAGCUUGCCAUAGCAGCUCAAACCUCCGAUCGGGAAAUGGGAGUUCUAACCGGUCCUAACCCCAAUUCCAAACAAAUUGAUUGGACCGAGGUUCGUGCAGGGAGAGAAUAGAAACUAAUAACGAUGGAGCAAGAAAACGGAUGCGCUAACGCGCAACGGCUUUCGCGCUAGUUGCUCAAUCCGUUGCUUGUUUGGUUCGAGGUUGAGCUCACCCGCCGCCCUACGUCAGUAGUCUUCCUAACUUCUAUUCCCUUUUUUUUGCUCUAAGGUAAGGUCCUUCAAGAACAGCAUUGCGGUCGCAACGGGGCUCUGGGUGAAUAUUGUCCGCCCGUAUGAGCCGGGCUGUGAAUAUUUAUAGGUCGGGGUCUUUACUGAAAAACCACAAUACUACACUACAACAAUUUGAAGAAAUCCGCAAGUGACUCUAAUUUGAAUUCACUAGUCGUGUUGAGUUUUUUUUUAUUUCAAUAUAACAAAUCUGCCAAUCCCGAUAUUCCCACAUUUCAUUCUGGUCCAGUGUCCAUUCCUGAAUGAAAGAAAUGAGCUUUUUUCUGCGCCCCUUCACUCACUUCUGAAUGACUCCUUUAGCACUCUCUUCACGAUUAAUUACGUAGGUUCGAAUCCUGCCUCUCCCACUUGUUGUAGACUUAAGAGAAGAGAAAGUAGGCGGAAGCCUAGGAGGGCCAAUCGAGCGAAGCUCUUUUUUUUUUGCCGUGCCGUGAAGUGCAAUUUUAUCGUAUGCGUUUUAGAGAGGUUGUCGAAAAAAGACGAUCUAUAGAGAUUCCCCAUCUAUAUCCAAUCGAGAAUAGAAGCGAGUCGCUUCCGGCGUCGGCUUGUAGUCUCUGCAGUCGGCACACGCACGCGCCCGUCAUCAUGCCUCCUUGGUUCGGGACGAAGCCAAGCGAGACAUACGAUAGACGAAGGAAGCGCCCACCCAGCAGGAGGGCUAAAACCUGUAGUUUUGAAGUUGCAAACUCCAGCUUCGAAGCUGGAGUGCUUUAGCCCUUUUUUAAGCAAGAAUCACCGUCUUGAGCGCCUUGCGCGCUCAAGAACAAGCAAGGGAUGAGCGCUUUGUUGCUAAAGCGGAUACGUUUUCUUGCUGGGGAAGGCUAGUUUGAUCGAGGAUUGGAGAGGAGGGAGAGGUGGAAUAAAAAGCUCGGGAUGGAUUUUGGAGUCUUUGUGCGAGCCGUAUGCGGUGAGAGUCGCACGUACGGUAAGGAGGGGGGUUCGCGUCUAUACGUGUAGUGUGGUGGUUGGGCCUACCCACCCUAUUUGUUCCAUGAUCUAUGGGUCUACUGGAGCUACCCACUUCGAUCAAUUAGCCAAGAUUUUGACCGGAUACGAAAUCACUGGUGCUCGAUCUAGUGGUAUUUUUAUGGGGAUUCUUUUUAUCGUUGUAGGAUCCCUAUUCAAGAUUACUGCAGUUCCUUUUCGGGCGGCUGUAGGACGGACGGCCCCCUAUAGGUAGUAGGGUAGGGUGGGUGGUACCGCUCAGAUAGCGGCCAAUCCUCCUAACUGCGCGCGGGCCGGGCUUAGAGCGCGUGAAACUCAUCACUACCUCGUAAGGGCGUUGAGACCAUAGCAUGUUACACAAAAGCGCCGCUUUCUCAGGAGUGUUGUCACACAGCUGCCCGACUAGAAGAGCUACUCGCUCUGUAGUGUUGUCACACAAGAUAAGCACGCCGCCCGCCUGCUGGCCGGGCGAAUCGAAGUUAUCUUCCGGUCAACUGUCCACCCAGUCAAGUGCAAAAAACACAGUGGAAUCACGCAACGCACGCUGCUGGUGUGCUUCCUGCCCACGAGGAAAGAAGAGCGACAAGGUUCAGAUUUGACUGUUUGCAGCAUGGGAGCUGAUUACCCAAAAAAUCCCUGGGAAAAAAGAAAAGAUAUCUCGGUAACGAAAACCAUAGGAGGCUGUAUUGGCGAGAUCCAAGGGUUCACAGCAGCCCAAAAGAAAAACCGCCUGGAAGUCCGAGGACCUUUAGUACCGUACCGAACCAGCAGCCUUCGCGCCAAGCGACGACCGCCCUUGUCCCUUUCCUUUUUCCAUUCAGCCUACUUCUUAGCUUUGUUCCGUCAGUCUAAGGCAAAGCUUAAGUGGUUUGCCUACCUUACCCACUUGAUGAAAGGGAACGAACUUCGUUUCCUUGGCGGCUUUAUGGAUGGAUUCAGUCAGAAAAAACUCCUUCCUUUUCAAAAAAGUGACGCUUUGCGUCUUCGCUUCCGAGGGUUAGGGUAUAGGCCGUUUCGAGCAAGCUUUCGCUUUUUCUCCCGGCUUUCUACAACUUUCGCUUUAGCUUCCAAAGGCGACCCAAUGACCUUUCCGGAAUUGGAAGUAUUCGUCGCCCUACCCUAAGAAAGAAGUCACUAUAAAACUGCUUGCCCUCCAGAAGUACCAAAGGUGCGCGGAGCCCGGUGAAAAUGAAUAUGUUUGCUACUGAAAGAAGCCUGCCUAUUGACUAAUAUUCGUCUUUAGAAUGAAAGUAGCUAUGAAGCCCAAUCUACUGUCGAUUCAAAAGGGGGCAUAGUCAUAUGGGUGGGGUGUUUGUGGGGAGCUGCCUUGGAUAUGAGGAAUUCCUCAAAUCUAAAAAAAAAGAACAAAGACAAAGUCCGUGACGAAGAUCUUUCUUUUCUAUCAAUAGAUAGGAAUGAGUGUUCGUUAUAGGGGAUAGGAUCCAUCUGCUCUCUCUCUCUCUAUUUUCUUUGNNNNNNNNNNCGGGUUAUUGUGGCGAGCUGCCUUGGAUAUGAGGAAUUCCUCAAAUCUAAAAAAAAUAACAAAGACAAAGUCCGUGACGAAGAUUUUUCUUUUCUAUCAAUAGAUAGGAAUGAGUGUUUGUUAUAGGGGAUAGGAUCCAUCUGCUCUCUCUCUCUCUAUUUUCUUUGAUGCAAUUUAGAGAGAAAGAGCAGUGCGAAUUAGAAAAAAAAGAGAAUCGGGAGAUGAUUCCAAAAUAGAUACAUAGACAUCUAAAGUAAAGGGAUGUAUAUAUUAUUCCUAUAUAUAUCAUCUAUCUAUGAAAAAAGUAAACAGAGUUCGUUUUUGGGUUCCCCGAAGCCCCGAAUGGAUUGGAUCGUUUCUGCUUCUGCCAACGAAAUGAAGGCCUCGCCCCUUCCGAAUGCUUCUCCGAUCCUGAAGUUCUCGCGAAGAGAAUAAGAUGCAGCUCCCCCUCCCUCUGUCUUUUUCCGCUUUGCUAAUCUUCCCCUCUAACGCGGGCCGGGCUUAGGCGGGCGCGGAGGAAGAAAGAAAGUCGAAGAGCGUCUUCUCCUUUGUCCUUUUUUCAGUGCAACACAGGAAAGCACCCUCUUUUUGUAAUCCCUGCAGCUUCCCAGAGGCUUGCUUUUUUUUUAUUGAACGCAUGGCGUAGCUAGGACCCCUCCAAUCAUGUUUGAGCCUAUGUUCACCCGGGGCCAAAAAAGGAGAAUUCCGGAAUGCCUGCCGACGUUCAGAUAAGGUGCAUAUCCCUUACCACUAAAGGAAAGGCUCGACGAAGGGGGGGAUAUUAGCUGGGUAAGGAAAACGCUUUCGGAGAUUGAGAUGUCGAUUUGUUUUUCAUCGAAAAGGAAGAAGGCCGAGGGGAUAGCAGCCUUCCUUCGGGCUUUGCCUGCCGACGUUCUAAUAAAGAAUUCCGGCUCGGCCCGGGAAAGCGCUGGCAACAACAUAAAGAAAGGGGUCCAUGUAGCUGCUGCGCCCGCCCACUGAGCAGCAGGUUCGGCAUCUACUACAAAAGAUAGAAUCCACUUCAGAUAACCACGUCUCUGCUAGGCAGCGUGUGGAAUGGCCGAGAGCGGACCAAAUGGAUAUAUAAUCCAAGCCGAGAGUGGAGUUACGUGAACAGCCGUCUGAUGGAAAACAACUUUCACGUUCGGUUCAGAGAGCACUUUUUUCGUUGAGAAUAAGUCCUUCCCUUUUGUGUGAAUUCCCCAGCGGCGAAUUAACAACUUGUGGGGCCCUAUCUAUUCAAUCUCUCGAGCCCCAAGAAAACCCCCCUCUCCCUCGGACUCAAUCUCUCUUUUGACUCUAUAUAUGUGGGCACCUGAUAUCUAUGAGGGUUCACCCACCCCGGUGACAGCAUUCCUUUCUAUUGCGCCUAAAAUCUCUAUUUCUGCAAAUAUGUCACGUGUUUCUAUUGUUGCUUCCUAUGGGGGUACAUUACAACAAAUCUUCUUUUUCUGCAGCAUUGCUUCUAUGAUCUUAGGAGCACUGGCCGCCAUGGCCCAAACGAAAGUCAAAAGACCUCUAGCUCAUAGUUCGAUUGGACAUGUAGGUUAUAUUCGUACUGGUUUCUCAUGUGGAACCAUAGAAGGAAUUCAAUCACUACUAAUUGGUAUAUUUAUUUAUGCAUCAAUGACGAUAGAUGCAUUCGCCAUAGUUCCAGCAUUACGGCAAACCCGUGUCAAAUAUAUAGCGGAUUUGGGCGCUCUAGCCAAAACGAAUCCUAUUUCGGCUAUGACCUUCUCCAUUACAAUGUUCUCAUACGCAGGAAUACCCCCGUUAGCCGGCUUUUGUAGCAAAUUCUAUUUGUUCUUCGCCGCUUUGGGUUGUGGGGCUUACUUCCUAGCCCCAGUGGGAGUAGUGACUAGCGUUAUAGGUCGUUGGGCGGCCGGAAGGUUGCCAUGAGUAAGGUUGGGAGACCGAAGGCAGUUUUCCGUGCACCGGACACGUAGCUUACCGAAUCAGUUGCAACACAGAUGGGAAUGCAUGCUACGAAAGACAGGGUCGAGUCUGAUACAUCAACCGUCGACUCCAUAUCCUUGUACGAGUCCACAAUCACUACACGAGAUGAACCUGGGUUUGGUGAAUGGAAGUUGGCCUUAGGUGUAAUAGGACUCCCAGUUACUGCGUGCGAUCGUAUACUGAGGUGCUCCCCGUUGGUUGUUGGAACGACGCGAGCCGGGCCGGGCCUCGAUUCCUUUGAAAAAGAUGAAGGGACAGAGGUGACUAAUUCCCCAUCUCAUUUGGGGCGGAAAACGAAUCGACAUCUCGAUGUGAUACAGCCCUUUCCAUUUUCGUUGGGAAAGAACGGCGAAGUCCAUCCGAACCCUCCAAUGAAGAAAUAAGAGGAGAGCAAAGCGCCAAUGGCGCGCGAAGCGCAUGCGGAAGGGGCACGGAGAAAUAAAGAAGUGUGGGGGAGAAGCAGCCGAGCUCAUUCCCUUCGCUUCCUGGGCCCAAAGCAGUGCUUUGUUUCCUGGCCAAAUCAAGGAUUUGGGGCUGAUUGCAAAAGAUAUCUGAAUAGAAAGAUAGAUCCAUCCAUCUAUCCAGAUAUCUAAAAAAGAAUCGAUUUCGAUUUCAUGAAACCUUUGAUUCAAAGAACUGCGCUUAGCCCCCCCGCUCAUGAAACGGCUCUGCUGCAAUGGAUGGCAGAGGGUCCGUAGUACCCGAAGCACUGGAGUGAUCCAGUAGCCGGGAAGGGGCCUAGAAGUGCCUACUACUACACCACACUACACUUGGCUCUACACAUUUACAGAGCUUACCCCUGUCCAGUGUCUGGCAGAACGUUGGGGGCUUCAAUCGUCGACUAGUUAUCCCCAUCUCAGCCGAGGCUAACGGAGCCUGACUUAUUCAGGGGAGAGAGUGGAGCCUAUCGAAGCACCCUUGAGAGUAAGAUCCUUGGCUCCUCUUCAUUCUCUACAGGGGUCUCUGCCCACAUGGAAGCGGGGCAGAGAUGGAUAAGAUCAAACACGGGAAUAAGAAGCAUUUGAAAUGCCUUUUUGAUCAUUUUGAUAGAGGGGGAUGGAUAAAGUGGGCAAAACAGACUCACAUUUUUCAAUCGAAAAGAUGGGUUCCUUUUUCGUCUCGACAAAGAUAGAAUCAUCUUGAAAACGCUCCUAACCCCUUCGUAGGGCCGUGUAUAGUAAGUGAUCCGAACCUGCCCGGAGCGAGCCCCCCUUAGAGGCAAGUGAAGUUGGUGAGCCGUAUGAUGGGCAACUAUCUCCUGCGGUUCGGAGAGGACUCAGCUGUUAGUUAGUACCCCCUUAGAAAUCAUAUUUUAUUAUAUACGCUUAGCGAAAAGAAUGUUUUUUGAUAGACCUAGGACAUGGAUUCUAUAUGAACGAAUGGAUCGUGACAAGUCGUUACUACUAGCAAUGACUUCCUCUUUCAUUACUUCAUCCUUUCCAUAUCCCUCUCCCUUGUUCGAUCUUACUCAUCAAAUGGCACUCAGUUCAUAUCUGUAAGUUCGUUCGAUCAUUGACAAGGUUCAAAGAAAGGGUGGGCCAUUCACCAUGAAGGCUAAAAGCGAGAUAGGCUUUACUGGACAUUUUCGCUUACAAAGGCGAAGACAAUUCCGCGUUUUUUCAGCCGAUUCUCCGAAAUUUAAGACAAUUAUCCUCACUCAAACUUCAAAAAGUCCUUUUGUCUUUUUCUGAUGUAAAUUCUGUCUGUCUCCUUUGUCCUUCCUAACGCUAGUCUAGUCUCCUUCGUUCCACUCGUCCUUGCUUUUUUUUCUUCUUCCUAUCGGUCCCAAGGUCAAAGAAAUAGGUUCAGUGGUUCGACCUCCCAAAGGUUAAAGAAAGACAUCGGUAUUAAGACCACUCCCUCCGGAUGAUGAUAUGUCCCAACCAUCUAUAGCCCAUGGUUCGUUACUCGGGAAUUCGGAGAGGUCAGAUGAGAUAGAUGGGUGUGUUCAAAAUGGAAUGAUCCCCUUUUCUCAUGUUUGCAUUUUUGUUGUCCACAAACAAAUAAAGAGUCCGAAAAGACGUACGCAUAACAGACUCGGUACCUAGGUCAAUGGGUUCAGUGGAGAAUUGCGUUACUGUAAUAGCGAAGGUAUCUAUGAAAUGCAGUACCAAGGUCAAUGAAAUUGAAAGGCACCUCUGACAACAGAAUCAAAAGGGAUUUGGCGGCUAUAGACGACUCAGAGGGGUUUUCAUAAAGAGAAGCUUUCGCGCAGUACACCUAUUUUUCUAUAGAAGUGAAUGGCCCCUUAGUUGGCUAGUCUGAUCAAUCGGCAGGCUCAGCCUCUACGUCGUAUUCUGAUAUAGAAAGAAAAGAACCGAACUCCUGGAGGGUGAAAGAAGAAUCUCAAGUUGAUACUCUGCCAAGGGAUCUGUCCACAACUGGUACUUCACAUGCCUUAGAAGUAGAUUUGAAUGAGAAUGAAUGAAAUGAGCAAACGUUACUAGGAAGGUGAACUCGCUAUCAAACUACUGCCUGCGCUAGGGGAAGCGCGAAAGAAAAACCAGUUUCAAGCAAGAUCUGAUACCCUUGAAGGACUCCCAGGAAUGAGAGAGCAAGUACAAGGACAAUCUUAUUUUCUAAGGAUAGGCGGUAUUCCAUAAUUAACAUAGUUCGGUUAGAGUGGAUUUGAAAAGCUACAGCAGAUCGAUAAGUUGCUAAUUUAGCUAAGUCAACUCCACUACGGAAUCUAGCUCUCCAUAAGAGGGUAUUCCCAAUGAGACAAGUAGUUUAUCGAAGGGACCCUCUGUCUGAAGAUUGUAGUCCAGAUUUCUCGGAAUAGAAUAAUUGAAUGAGCAGGUGCAGAUGGUCAAUCUCCAUCUUGAAGCCGAGUCUCUCUGUCUUCUUAUUUUAUAUAAAGAUAUAGAGAAUAACUCNNNNNNNNNNCCCCAAUGAGACAAGUAGUUUAUCGAAGGGAUCCUCUGUCUAAAUAUUGUAGUCCGGAUUUCUCGGAAUAGAAUAAUUGAAUGAGCAGGUGCAGAUCGACAAUCUCCAUCUUGAAGACGAGUCUCUCUGUCUUCUUAUUUUAUAUAAAGAUAUAGAGAAUAACUCGAUCGAUCGUAGAAUGAUUUCGUGAUCUGAUCUUCAUUUGGGCGGCUUUCGCUCAAUCCGUGGCUGUAGUGAUAAGGCAAAUCAAAGGGGUCAAAAAAGAAGAUAUAGAAUUGUAGCUAACAGGGUUCGCUCGCCCUCGCCUGUCACUAUAGCGUGUCAAGUUUCUCUCUUUCCAAUCGGGAUUUUUUAGGUGUGAAGUGAAGUUCACCAGAAACGCUAGCUAUAUGCUUAACACAGGGUAGGGGAAUGCUAUUUCUGUAAGAUUUGGGUAAUUUGUUUUGUAGAAGGACUCACUUGACCAACGCUUGCACUUGUUUGUGUUAAUGGAUCCAGCAAGACUCUAAUAUGAUUUCUAAGGAUUUGAAGAACGACGUGUACAUGUUUCAUUUCACCUAAUCCAUCAUUUGAGGAGUGGGUUUCGCGAUUGGGCUCAGAUAGGGGUAAAGAGGGGGAACGGAGGCAGAGUUGAUAAUUGUACGGUUUCCCACUAAGCGCGAGCAUAAAACUUGAUCCUUCCUCACCGUAACCAUGGUGUCAAGUUGAUUCGCACCGGAUAUCGAUACCUUCAGCCAAGACCCAUUCUUAAGUACAAGCCAGUGGUGGUGUCCGGUCGAAGGAAGUUAGUGCUAAGCACUAUUAAUAUCGUAUCGAACCUGAUGAGUAUUUUAGAGUAUCUUUGGACCCCAAAGAGUUGUAUAAGUAGUCAAGAAAUACUCCAUUUUGAGUUAUGGUUGUGCAACCGAUCGUACCCAUCUUUAGAACGUUAUUGCCCUUGCGGACAAGAAGAAUCGAUCUAUCAAAAAUAUGUUAUGUAAUGUAUUCAGUUGAGUUGAAUCCUGCGCAUGACCAAAAGAAAGGAAAGAUCCGUGUGUAUGAAAGCCGUCUGGACCCCAACUGGAACAGGAACGUUGUCUCUUGAUUUCUUCUUUGAAUUCAGGUAUCAAUUCAAUUAUGAUAUGAAGAAAAGAGAGAAAGAAUUAGUUCCACCAAAGGAACCCUAGUGAAAUGCCUUCCUGGCUAUCAAGCAUUUUGCAUUGCUCAAAGCCUAGAAUCUUGUAUCUGGGAACUGGGAAGAUGAUAGACGGUCAGCGGCUGUUGCCAAUAGUCCUGAAUCUGCAAAGCUACUGCAAACACAUGCAACACAGGCUACAAGAAUGAAGAAACCAUGAAACCAACCUAAAAUCACUGCCAGCACUUAGUUAGUUAAAGCCCAGGAACCACUUGUGUUACACCGGUGAAGCAGAAGCUCCGAAAGCUGUCCGAGGAGCCAGCCAUAGGUGGGUUCUUUACUGGCCAUAGGUAGGUCCCUUACUGCUGGAUCCUCUAAGCAGGGAAAGAUCGUAGCUAGUAUGAAUUGGAAGAACGAUCAUACCGAACCCAGGAUCCUGCAACUAUUCUUCCUUCGUUCAAGACUCGCUUUUCUCGCGGGUUGAAUGAGUGAGCCUUGGCCAUACAUACUGAGAUUCAACAGUCAACUUUGGAGUCCGUCCUAAAGCCCCACCAAUCUACAUAGGUGAUACCAGGGUAGGUACUUGAAAGACGAGAAUAGAACCCAUGCUGAUGUACCUUAGCUUUUCCGCUCUUCCAAUCCUAAACAAGAUCAUAAAUAAGAGUCCCAGGCCGCUUAACGUCCUCUUAGCACAUAUGAUAGGAGCUGGCAUACAGAAUUACAAGAAGUUGGUACUUUUUCCAAUCCUUUCUGAUUUCUCACCAGCAAAAUAGGAUCGAUCGCGAAAUCAAAGAAAUCUUUCACCUCACUUCUAAGAUGAGCUAGCGCUCGCAUCACCUUUCGAUAUCCUAUAUUUUUGAUAUUCAACAAGUAGCAUUUCCACGGCAUUCUUUAGAUGGAUUUCACUGCCCCUCAUCUACUCCUCAGCUGGGUAUCUAUUUCUCAAUACGGUGCUUUAGUGACGGAUUCUGGCAUCGCAUGGAUCUCUUAAUCAAAUAGGGUCUCCCGGAUAGGUCAAAAUGAAUGUGACACCCGUGAUAGGACCACUACUGAUUAAACUAAGCCCUUUAAGGAAGGCGUACGGCAAACACUUGGACUGAAGCAUGAGCUGGUUCAAACCACUAUACCUGAUAUAUCACGAAAUCUAUACUGGAUUUUCAGCGCUGCGCUCAAGGUCAGGAAGAAGAAGAAGUGUGUGAGAUUGUAAUAAGUGUGAUUGGAGAAGCUUUUAAAGAAGUGGAGGAAGUAGAAUGGAUAAAUUCUAUCAAUUUCUAGCUCUCAUAGCUGAAUGAAGAAAUAGAUAAUGGGAUGCAUUAAUAGUUUCAUCCAAUUCCUAGCAAGUCAAGUACAUAAUAGUAUAAUUGAGUAUUUAGAAAAGCCUGUCUAAGACGAGUCGGUGUUGUAUGCUGAGUGUGGUUUCUUCCUGUUUCCGGAGUAGCCUCUAUAUAUUGAGUUUAUAGGAUGGAGUCCAUAUCCCUCCUUUUUACUUCAUGGAUCUUGUCAGCAUACAGGAUACUGUCGUAAAGAAAGCGGGUAUCUUAGAAUAUGGAUCAGCAGCGGAUACCAGAUUGGUAAAAACCUGCUCAAAAAGCAAGAGUUGAUGGUUUCGGGAAAGCUAAGCUAAAGCAAGCAGUAAACUAGUGGGUGCAAGCACGUUAAUGAAAAAAAACGUGAUAGAAAAUCCUACCGUUAGCAGCGACUGCGACACUUCGUAACAGCUCCUUAGAGAUCAAUGUCUUAUUGGUAUUUGCUCGAUUGCAGGCAAUAACGUUAGUAAAUUAGGUGAAUGUACGUAAAUCGAGGUACACGAGUCUAGCCAGGUAUAGGUAGAAAAGGGGUAUAGUAGGUCUCAUGGAAAGGGAGAUAGUGGGACGAAUAGUUCAUCGUGCAAGUGUUACGAAUAGAUAGGAGUCUCGACUCCGUCCUUCGAAAAGAAGAUGGUUCGCGCUAAGGGUGACUAAAGGCAGAGAAUUCUGUACGCCAAGAAGAAAAGAAAGUUUGUAGGGGUGAGAAUGAACUUUCAAACCCUUUUCUUGCCCCUAUCCUUUUUGCUUUCGAUAACUUCUAUCGCUUCCUAAUCAUAUGAGUCUAGUGCAACAUACUACUACUAAUAUGGAGUCAUAUUCUUCUUAAGCCUCCUUUCCCAGAUCCAAGUUCCGAAUCCCAGGGAGAGAUCAAGACAAUGCAGCAGGGUUGGCAAGCAUACCUGUAUCACUGAGCAAAUCCAAAGCAUACUUUCCCUCUAAAGAGUGAAGAAAAAGACUUGGUACAGCUAGAAUACCGAGUGGAUGUGGAAUCCUACUUGAAUUCCAGUCAGAAAAGGAAACUUGAAUCCGGAACUUGCUUACUUCGGCUUGAUCAGAUACUAGAAUCCAAUCAGGAACUUGGUUAUUGACCCACUAAUCUUUCCCUCUUUUGAGUCCAAGUCUCAAGAGGGCACUUAGGUCGGGCCCUUCUCCAGAGUAACGAUACUGGUAUCACUAUUUCAAUUAGUUGAUUGAUUUCCCUUAGAAUUUCAUUCCUNNNNNNNNNNCGAAUCCGGAACUUGCUUACUUCGGCUUGAUCAGAUACUGGAAUCCAAUCGGGGAACUUGGUUAUUGACCCACUAAUCUUUCCCUCUUUCGAGUCCAAGUCUCAAGAGGGCGCUUAGGCCGGGCCCUUCUCCAGAGUUCCGAUACCGAUAUCACUAUUUCAAUUAGUUGAUUGAUUUCCCUUAGAAUUUCAUUCCUCCUCAAGUCCCAGUUUCGGUCAAGUAGUGGCAAGUAUCAUCUGUAUCUGGCAGAUAAGCUUUCACAUGCAUGAAUUGAACUACCGAGAUCUUUUCUUACUUGGCAACUAGAGCCUCCCCUUCGGGAUUCGAGAUUGAAGAAGAGGAAAACAGCUUCUAAAGGGAACUGAUCCGAAGCAACAAGUCCUAGACCUAGAAUGCAGGUACCCUAGUCUUGAAAUAUGCCAUGAAGAAUGAAAUCUCUUGUUUUCAUUCAUAUCAUCAAAGUGCUGGAUCUGAACUAUUGAAAUUAGUGAAUUGGCGGAAAAGCAGGAAUGAAGGUUGGGACAGAAAGGGGAGAGGAGAGCCCGGACGAGGAAAACAAGCACCCCUUUUAGGAUUCUAGGAAACAAGCAAUACUUUCCCAUCUUGAACUGAACUGAACAGAGCACAGAGACUAGAAUCAGAACUGGAAUUCCCUUCUCUGAAUUCAAAAGCCCACCCGGACUUGGUUUGAGAAGUAGCUUGUUCAAUUUGUCCUCAGCAGAAGCGAAACCUGUUGCCAAGAGAUCGAAAUUCCAAUCAGAAAAUAAGUACUUUGAAUCAAGAAAUGACAUUGCGUAGAAGUGAAGUGAACUAGAGAAUUCUAGUCAGAAAAGCAAUCGGAUACUGAAAUCUCUUCUCUGAAAGCUAAAGCUUUACAGAUUAUAGGAAAGCAAGCACCACGAAGGGCAGUACCCAAACUAUAGGUUAUCUUGUGUCUGGGCAAGCAAGGUCAAGUAGUGGCAUCCUAUUACCCUAAAUGGAAAGCAAAGUAGGUUAUUCAGCCAUCCCUCGCGAACAAUCAGAAGUCCCAGUUUCCUUAACUAAUCUCGCCAAUUUAUCACUUGACCGACCCAGAGACUAAUCUAUCGUUGGCCCAGGCAAAGAGUGAGAAAAAGCAGCAAAAGGAGUAGCUUGCAGUGAGGAAUGAAAGCUGGUGUUUUACCACCAUUCAGCAAGAGAAACCCACUGGAACCUUUUCAUAGGACCAUAGAAAACAUGCUGCUUCCUGUAUAGAGAUGACUGCUUCUUUAAUGAAGUUGAUCGUCUAUCUCAAGUGGUGGUGAUCGACUCCACGAAUAGCCUGAACCUGAGAAAUGUAGAUCUGCAAACGGGAACUUCCUGUUGUCUCGAAUCAGGUCUGCUAUUUCUAUUCAUAACUCUCUGGUUGGAAUCGACCAAAAUAGCCCUUGACGGCAAUAAGAGGAUCCUAACCACUACACGGUUCGAAAUAUCAAUCGAAUGAUACCUCAAUUGAACCUGCUGAGUCAGUUAUUGGAAAGAUAUCACUAGCAGCCUCACAGCAAUCUUUAGGAAAAUGCAGACACAGUAGUUUUUUCGAAACUUGUUCAGACACCGCAAGCAACUACCAGUAUCGAUCUUCUAAAGAAAUGACCUUCGUUGCCGAAGUGAUAGACAAACAAUUCUAUAGCGGACUUGGACUAGCGACACAUUUCUCCAUAUAUGAAAUUCAAUUCACCCGACAUCAAAGAGAAGCUCAAGCUCGGGAUCAAAGAUCAGCUACAGAUCGGGCUGGCAUUCAUCAUAGUCGGCAGCUUACUUUUNNNNNNNNNNGUCCAUAUAUGAAAUUCAGUUCACCCGACAUCAAAGAGAAGCUCAAGCUCGGGAUCAAAGCUCAGCUACAGAUCGGGCUGGCAUUCAUCAUAGUCGGCAGCUUACUUUUGACUGAAAGAUUUACUUUUCACUACAUCCGUAAGAAUCUGAUGGAAACUGACUACAACACAAUCAAUUUCUCCCUUCCUCGUGCGCGCAUAUCGUAUAUAGUUCAAUNNNNNNNNNNCAUUUACUUUUCACUACAUCCGUAAGAAUCUGAUGGAAAAUGACUGCAACGCAAUCAAUUUCUCCCUUCCUCGUGCGCGCGUAUCGUAUAUAGUUCAAUGAGAAACAAUGCUUUCUGAUAUUCACGAAUUGGAUUCGAACCAAUGUCCCCCGACUCCUCUACCGAAUAAGGAUCGUGAUUCACAUUUCCUCGUUCUCUUUCUAGCUGCCCAUAUGGGUGGCUGCUAUCAUCCCCUUUUGAUAGCUUCUUAUCCGCAUCCGCGAGCAUAAGCGGAAUAGCCUGAACACUCAUAGCGAUUACCUCAACCCUUGUCUUUCCUUUGGCUCCGCUCGGUGGGGGGAACCCAAUGUACCAAUUCUUUCACUCGACCCUGCUCCUUCUUCUUUCUCAUUUGCCUCUUUCCCUCUCUCCUGCUCCCCCCCGACUGUCACUCUAUGGCAAAGCUAAAGCUUUCCUGGCGCUUGGUGAAUAAUCUUUCUAUAGGGACAAAUAAAAGCCCAGUUUUGACCUUGCUGCAUAUAACAUCUAGCAUUUCAUGUGUCUGAAUGUAACAGCCAAUAAUCUGGUUUGCAAACCUAUCUUUGCCCUCCUCGACUGCGGGAGCCCUCCAUCGUUGCAGUACAAUAGACGUUAAUUUCAAGCGUAGCUUACUGGACAUACGGUCAAGAACUUCUUGCAGCCUUCGAAAGAAGACUUUAGACAUGACGCCAACACCUACGAUAGGAAUGCCGAAUAGUAUAUCGUCUGCGUAGCGAGCGAAAUAGACGUACUUGGUAGAAUCCCCAUUCUCCUCUUGGGCCAUAGCAUCGAAUUGCAAGUCGAGUUGAUGCAGGAAUGAUUGAAUCAAAACAGGCGAGAUCGGUGAUCCUUGUGGAAGGCCGACUUCACUGUUUGAGUAGUCAUUCCCUUUCUUAGAAAGUAUCGGUGUCUUGAGAAAGCAAUUGAUGAGGUCAAUGAGAGGAGCGUUAUCUGUACCUAAGAGCUUAGACAAAUGUUCAAGUAGUAACCGAUGGUCUAUGCUAUCGAAACACUUGACCACGUCCACCUGAACCAUAUAAUCCAUAGACGGCCAUUGAGUUAAUGCACGGAAGAAGGGCCGAGAACCUUGCGGAAGCCCUGCGCAGAUGGGGAAAUUCGUGGAUCUAAUGAGUCAUUGAGUAGCUCUGCCAACGCGGUUAGUAUAAGUCGAUCGGCUGCCGCCGGUUGAGUGAUAGGCCUACCUAAAUGCUCCCGGCCUUUUCUUUGGUCUAAAGGACCUAAACUACUCACUUGCCAAACUGCCUAUUCAUAUGCCCUUUCCUAAACCACUUUGCUAGUUCUAUACACCUGCCAGGAUGCUUCUAUUGCUUGUUACGUAUUUGAUACUGCUCACUAUAAUGGAAUAGCUUUGUACUCAGUACAUGAUUGCUUUAUAGCACCUGUAGCUUAUGCAAACAAAUUCCCUCAGAGUGGCAGCUUUUCAAUGUCUAGCUAAUCCACUGCAUCUUAUAAAUUGUAUAGUUAUUCAGAACCUCUUCCUUCGAGCUCCUAUGGAAGACCUUGGCCGCACGCGCCUUAGGCGAUUUCUAUUUUCUUUAGUUUAGAAUUAGUCUUUAAUUUAGGCCGCAGGUUUCUACAAAUUAGGUUAGGCCAAGAUAUUUGAACUUGUGCAAACCAACCAGUUCUCCCAUUUUUUCCCUGUGGAUCGACACCCGAAGUACUACACGAUAGGUCAUGCUUUGCCUUUUGCAGAUGCUAGUACAGUCCUAUUUCAAUCAAAAAGUAGAGUCCUAUUUUCAAGUACAGACCACCGCUUUCUUUUUCUUUGGACUGAAGACCCGCCUGAGUUGAUAGUGCUUACUUCCCACCCGAGACUGACUUGCUUACCUCUGCACCAACAGCUUAAAUAGUAGAAUUUCUAACACUCCAUUCUUCUAUAGAUAGCCUAGAAUCGGAACUAGAAUAUGUGCCCGACUUACCUAUUUCCAAGACAGUUACUCAACUUCCAUCGCCGCUUGUACUUCUUUUCCCAAGCCAUCCGUUGGUGGAGACAGCAUUGGGUGCUCUAGCCUGGCAGACAGACUUACAUGAGUUUACCUCUGCCUUUCCAUAGAAAUAAAUUCUUACUUCAAUGAGUGAGUAGCGCUUAGUUGAACUGGAUUUUGAACACAUACUUGUUUACCUCCUUCUUGACCUGGACCUGUCAGUUACUAUAACGAAGGAAAUCUUCAAUGAGUAGAGCUAAAGGAAAUACAUAUUUACAAGUAGUAAUUCAACAAUUAGAACGUUUGGCAAGACUGCUUUGCCUGGAUGGGAUGUGCGAGACUGGAGUAGGGUUACAGGACGGGUCUCCGAGUUUAACUACUAUUGCUGGAUUCUAGUUUAGAGAUUUAUCCGAAGGGAUCUAUUCCGGGGAAUGACUUGUGCCCUAAAGGAUGGAUCAAGCAUUAUUGAAGGAAUAGCUCGCUUCCCCCGGGGGAGAGUAUAGAUGAAUGCCUUAAGCAAGGGCGUCUAAGCGUGCAUGUACACUGUUUUUCAUGCCACAACACAUCGGUGAAACCGGAGAGAGCUGAAGAGAAGGGAAACCCUAGAGGCAUUGACCAUUUGGUACAGCCGCUAAUUCGGCAUUUGGUACUGUCACCAUUUCUCGAAAGGGAAAAAACAUACUUAACAAUUCGAUUGGCAGGACCAAGGGAUAGAUCGAUUGCAAUAUCAGUAUCAUACAAAUAGAAAUAGACAUGAGUACAUGAAUAAGGAAACGCAAAAGACACAGAGUAGGGCUAGUCAGAAGCGUCAAUGCAGACGCCAAUGGGUAAUCAGAUCCAUUCCACUCCACUUCUUCAGAUAGCAGUCGAUCCUGGAUCGUCCUCGCUUCCAAACUCCGUAAAUGAAUGAAACUCCUUCCCCGGUCCAUUGCUCGGGUGUGAUAAAAAUACUUCUUUGAAGUUGUAGGAUGCGGGUCAUCGAUCUUCCUAUCGGUCCAGAGGUUAUGCGCCAGCUUGGGAAAGAAAAAGUAAGAUUUGUUUGUCAUAUCACGAUCGGAACUCACAUGUAACUCUUCUUCUUGAGUAGGGGGAAAAGGACACCUAUCACGCGGUCAUGCCUUGAACGCAGUAAAGAAAUUAAUAAGCUUCGAAUAAUAGCUACGCGAGUCUCCAAUAGCGUCUUAAGCGUUGGUUUUCUUUGCUGGCAUCGUAAUGGAUUGGUGGUUUCAAGAAGCUAGGGAGUAGUACGCAGAUUUGAAUCCUUUUUUCUAUUUUACUACUUUUUUUCGAUCGACAAGGACGACAAGAGGUUCUUUUCCCUAGUUCCUAUAUAUCUAAAGCCUUACCGAGAUGUCACGCAAGAACAAGAAGAAAGAGCUCGCCCCUGUUCUGUGGCGGAUAGGCUGAGAUGGAAUUAGAGGGAGGAAUGAACUUGAACUUUUCACCUUCCCCCGAUCCCCCUUUACCCCCUUCCUGACCUUAGUAAAUAGAAAGGCUAGGAAUCAGUCUUCUCCUAUGCCUACACUACUACAACCAAAGACCUACUUGAACGACAACAUAUGCGGAUGAACUCGCUUAGCUGCUCGCUCGGUGAAAGGCUUUCCUGGAAGAAAGUUGAAGAAGAGGAACGUAUCUCUCAUCUUCCUUCUCACCUGGCAGAGGACGGGGAUGAACUCCAAGGCCACAGGUCUGGAAAAAGAGCUAACUUUCUGAUUACUGCAAAAAAGAAAUCAAACCAGUUGGGUGAUUCUUUAAAGAGCCUAAAUCGAAUCUGUACUAUUGGUACAGAGCCAUAAAGAAUGGUCGUAACCAUAGAUCCAUCAUCUUCGAGGAGGAGGAAACAUAAGUCCAAUACGCGUUAUGGAAGACUAGGGAUUGCUAAUCCGUCCACGCGGGAAGCCUUCUCCCUCUCAGGCUCAAGAGUCAAGAUAGCCCGCCCUAAACAAGAAGCUGCUUAUUCUUUCAAGGAUAAAGCUAACCAAAACAAGCUACGGAUUAAGCGUACACACUUGGUAAUUAUUUCCUGCUACAUCUGAUGAAUUCCACAAGUAAAGAAACAAGAGAAGCUAGCUAAUAGUCCCUCUUCACUUCCAACUAGUGUUUUUCCUAAGAUGAAUGAGUAGUUAAAAGCUUGGAUCCAUGGAUGGGAACAUGAGGUGGGCUAGCUUCGAAUCCACAAUAGGUGGAGAGUACCGGGUGAAUCAUAGGAACGAGAGUCACUUGUUUGACCCGAUGAAAAGCUUUGAACGAAUCCGGUGGAAGUGCCUCACUUGGUUGGGCUUCGNNNNNNNNNNCUUUGCCUAAGAUGAAUGAGUAGUUUAAAGCUUGGAUCCAUGGAUGGGAACAUGAGGUGGGCUAGCUUCGGAUCCACAACAGGUGGAGAGUACCGGGUGAAUCAUAGGAACGAGAGUCGCUUGUUUGACCCGAUGGAAAGCUUUGAACGAAUCCGGUGGAAGUGCCUCACUUGGUUGGGCUUCGAUAGGUGGAAAUGGGAAUGGGAUCGCCCGAGAAACCAUUGGAUCUAGGAAAUUGAUUCAUUGUUCUGCCUCUCCCACUGGUGGUGGGUGGCAACCAAAGGACUUGAAUCUAGCGUUUGUUCCGGUUGAGCUUUCAUUCCUUCGAAUAGACGGAUAGCUCUUGGAGGAAGGGAUGAGCUUUUAUCGGAAGGACCUGGCCGAUGCAAUUGAGAGACUGAGAGGAACUGGACUUGGCAGAGGAAUGCAUAGAAAUAUCUGCCUUUGCCAGGAGAAUCCAAACCUGCCUAAUAGCCUAUGAAUGUGGAAUCCCGUUCGUAUUCUUCCUCAAAGCCAUAUUUGCCUUUAUCUGAUUGCAACCUAUUGAUCUUUACUGUACAUGGAUAUCUUGACUCAUGAUUCAACAGUUCACAUCCCCAGUGAACUCCCUCACACCAACUGGCAUUAAAGAGGAGUUAUGCCAAAAAGUGUCAUAGCAUNNNNNNNNNNUCAACCUAUUGAUCUUUACUGUGCAUGGAUAUCUUGACUCAUGAUUCAACAGUUCACAUCCCCAGCGAACUCCCUCACACCAAUUGGCAUUAAAGAGGAGCUGUGCCAAAAAGUGCCAUAGCAUAUAUUAUUGCUUGCGCAAAGAUCGGAAUCAUACCUCUAGCAGGCAUUUUCUGUUACCUAAACAGCUGUCAUUUCUACUUUACUGAAAUAGAGACUUUCAUUGAUACUUGAACUAUUGACCUGGCUAGCGCUAACGCUUUGCAAGGUAAUUGGAGACUGGUCCGCUUGAAAUCGCUAGAGUUGAGAAUGGUCUGCUAAUCAUGCUACGAAUUAUCUGUUUAGGUAGGUAUAGUACCGAAGCUGUUAUGCCGACAACAGCUGAAAUAGCGUAGGUGAUUGCCGACCCUCUCUAUCUACAGGAUAAGCAGCUAGAUCGAUUUCNNNNNNNNNNGGAGUUGAGAAGGGUCUGCUAAUCAUGGUACGAAUUAUCUGUUUAGGUAGGUAUACUACCGAAGCUGUUAUGCCGACAACAGCUGAAAUAGCGGAGGUGAUUGCCGACACUCUCUAUCUAUAGGAUAAGCAGCUAGAUCGAUUUCCUAACAGGAGAGUUACUUAGCGUAACAGUAAAACAUUGAAUUGGACCGCUUCGCCCCUUGGCGGAUCUUCCUCCAAGAGAGUCAAUGGGACUUGGUCUCGAUGUCAACUAAAGAAUUGACUGAGUCAGGUAUUCCCUUAUGAAGGGCUAAUGCAGUCGAUUUCUUCACAUCUUCGGUCAAUCGGACUUUUUUCUAGUCUUGCCUUCCUAAAAGGUAUUCCCAUAUCGGGUGAAUGACCAGAUCGAGAUAAGUUGGCCUUCUCUGAAUCUAUCCGAAUCCUUAAUCUAUCAAUAGAAGGACGACGAUACUCGAAGACUUUCCACUUUCAGCCCUAAGAGGGAACAACUCUCAAACGUGAUAAAAGCCCUAUUUUCGGCACCUUCAUGCUCCUUCUUGAAAAAAUGGGGUCCAACCCUAUAAUCUAAUCGUUGGGGUUUUGCUUCGUCUUUCUCCUUAGGGACAGACCUCGACUCACUACAUGAUGGAGUAGACCAAGGCGAAGAACUGAUAUAGAUAGUCAUAUUGGCCUCUCGCACUGCCAGACUUUUAGUUUUCUUUAUUGAUUCAAGGAAUAGAUCCCUGACGAAAUUCCUUUAAAGAAGGACAUCUCCUUCCCUGCCUGCUUCUUGGCCACAACCACAGCUACGGCUAGUAGUAUUCAUAGGGUCCUUUGAUCGCAUUCUUUCCCGCUGAAGAGUCUGAUCCAUCUCCUAUCCUUCUUGGGAAAGCUAUGGUACUAAUGGCUGGCCUAGCUGGCACUUUCUUUAUGCUAAUCAAACUAGAAGUUCUUUGAGUUGAAUAGACGAUGACUGGACACAACGGAACUCUUCCUCUCUCAUAGGGUCACUGACUCAAUUUCAUUUCUUUAAGGGAGGGUUCUAGCUGAAGGGCGGUCCUUUUCAUCUCUAACUCGAAUGUUCGAGCUAAUGUUUCCGGUAGUUGGAGUUGCGGGGAAGCUUCCCGGAUGAAAAGAGAUUGAAUGAGAACUGGCAGAAUAUAUGCAUGGAGAUUGACUUGGUGCGAAGGAAAAUAGUAGAUCUUCCAUAGGCGCUUUUCGGACUACACGCCAGUCUUUUUCACCAAGAGCUUGUUCCGAAAUGGAGAAGUACUUUGGAANNNNNNNNNNAUUAAGGGAGGGUUCUAGCUGAAGGGCGGUCCUUUUCAUCUCUAACUUGAAUGUUCGAGCUAAUGUUUCUGGUAGUUGGAGUUGCGGGGAAGCUUUCCGGAUCAANNNNNNNNNNAACUCGGAGAAUAUAUGCAUGGAGAUUGACUUGGUGCGAAGUAAAAUAGUAGAUCUUCCAUAGGCGCUUUUCGGACUACACGCGAGUCUUUUUCACCAAGAGCUUGUUCCGAAAUGGAGAAGUACUUUGGAAUGAUUUUAUUGGGACGCUAGUGAGUUAAUGAGCACUCUUUGCAUGGUUCCAUCAACCCUUUUCUUGCGUGUUCUGAAUCGACUUCUCAUCUAUAAAGAAGAGAUGCCCCGUAGAAGACUCCAGGCCACCGAAGCUAACAAAAGGCUAAGGACACCCAUUUAGUUCUUUGUUCUUAUGCCGACUAAAGCUAGCGGAGCCACAGCUUGAAUCUCCCUAGAAAUCCCCACUCGUAGCCCGACGGCUGGGUUUGUUAAGCAUAUUCGAUUGGAAGCUCUUCUUCACCGGGUUAAGCGAUGGUAGUUUUAGGCUUGGCUUAUCACCAUAUCCAACCCGAAUUCCGUAGUUCGAAAGGAGAAUUAGGCUACCUGAGAACAACUGAUUAUCCAAAACAUGAGACUGCUUUCUUAGCAAAGCUUUGCUUGGCUCAACUUAGUCUCUAUCUCUAAUGGCUAGACCAAGACCCCUGGUCGGAUACUUUUAUUGACCUCUUGCUGUUUGCAAAAAAGCUAUCCAGAUUUCAAUAAGUCUUGUCAUCCUUGCAUGUUUUUGACCUGGCAUGCUUCUUGCUUUCUUUUCGUAAGAACCGGCGUUGAAGAGGAGUGUGAUGCCAGGGGAAGUCGACUCGGUUACCGGGUCUGUCCUGUGAGGGAUCGUUAUAUAGUUUUCAUCUGGUAGGUCUUCUUACUUAUGAUGCCUGGAACUUUAACUAGAACUGGGCAUUCCUCAACCGAAACAAUUAGAGAACUAGUUAUUCCCGCGGGACACGAACUUACAUGAAACUAAACUUUAAAAACAAGUUUACUUUCGUUAGAAAAUAGAAAAACCAACGGAAAAGAAAGUCUCAUGUUGCUCCUCAGAAAACGCGUAGAAUAGUCUCAUUGGCCCUCGUCGAUGGGACAAUCCAGUGUAUGCGUUACAAGGCAACUAGCAUUUAGUUCGUGAAAGAAUGUUUCGUUGGAAAAACCAACGCCGACGUCAAGAUCAGUCUCCUUUCUCUUUUCGGGAGCAGAGCUGAAAAAGAUGGGAAAUUCCAAUGAUUCUUCGUUCAUUAGAAUGUCGAUUCCUCACAAUCGCUCUUUGUGAUGCUGCGGAACCAUGGCAAUUAGGAUCUCAAGACGCAGCAACACCUAUGAUGCAAGGAAUCAUUGACUUACAUCAUGAUAUCUUUUUCUUCCUCAUUCUUAUUUUGGUUUCCGUAUCACGGAUGUUGGUUCGCACUUUAUGGCAUUUCAAUGAGCAAACUAAUCCAAUCCCACAAAGGAUUGUUCAUGGAACUACUAUUGAAAUUAUUUGGACCAUAUUUCCAAGUGUCNNNNNNNNNNCGAUAUCUUUUUCUUCCUCAUUCUUAUUUUGGUUUUCGUAUCACGGAUGUUGGUUCGCGCUUUAUGGCAUUUCAACGAGCAAACUAAUCCAAUCCCACAAAGGAUUGUUCAUGGAACUACUAUCGAAAUUAUUCGGACCAUAUUUCCAAGUGUCAUUCUUUUGUUCAUUGCUAUACCAUCGUUUGCUCUGUUAUACUCAAUGGACGGGGUAUUAGUAGAUCCAGCCAUUACUAUCAAAGCUAUUGGACAUCAAUGGUAUCGGAGUGCGCCUCUUAACGAGGGUGAUUUAAGUGCAACGAAAUGUACCGGUGGUUCGCGAAGCAUCUGGCUUACCGGUCAUCUCCCAUUCCCGUCGUCGAGAGACUAAAAGAACUAUAGCAUGCCAGAAACGGGGAGUUGAGGUGGUUAGACCUAUACCCCGAAAUGCUCCCAGCAUAGGAGCCUAUGGUUCCAUUCUUGUUAUUGCUGGAGGUACACAUACCUCUUCUCGGUGUGGUGGAGCGAUAUACGAAAAAUAGAUGCUAAGCCUGCAAUGUCCGAUAACGACGCUUCAGUAGUGAAUCUAUCGGCACCACAGCAGUGGCAUACAACUUUGGACCUAAGGGCUGGUCCCGUUACCUUUCGGAAUGGGGGAUCCCCGUUGGCAACAACCACGGUAGUAGUUGCGGAACUACUGGGCCAAGAGAGGACAACCUGUUGUUCCUGCUCCUCCUUCUUCGCUUCGGGGACGGAGGUCCUACGGUAGGUAAGAGCACGCACAAGCACUUGACCGAAGGGGACCAGCGCUUCUACUCCUCCACCGAGGAGCCGUUCUUGCGAGAAGCAAGGGAUGUCAUGAACGGUGGGAGGUCAAAGAAAGAGAAUUGACCUCUGAAUACAGUGAUCCUAUGAUCUAGAUAGACUCCGUCCUUUUUUUUUAGAUAAGGGUGACUCAAUAAAUUGGGGGUGGGACCUGCUGGCAUAAUGCAGGCUGGAACGUGGGAAUUCGAGGUCUCAUGAACGAGUUUUUUUUCGUGGACAAACAUACUUUCCGGUCUUUUUUAUGGAUCCUUUUAGAUCUACGGGCCGGCCGUUCACAUGAGCAUAGGGAAUCUAUACUAGAGCCUUCGACUUGGCCCCUGGCAGGAUAGGUGAGGAAUCACUCUUGAUCUGAUCUAUUGGGGCCUACAACUUCGCCAAAGCCGACUAGCAUCCCUUUCCGUGGUGAACUGGCCGUCCCAUACCUUCAUUUUGUCUCAUGUGUGUUGAACAUUGUCUUCCUCGGUUCCAGCUUCACUGAUGUAGGUAGGGCUGGGCGAGAAAGGGUCCCCUCUUGCCUAUUAGUAAGCGGGCCUUCGAUUCCACCGGGGUCUUACGGUCUCAUAGAGGGGGGAGAACUACCUAACUAAAGAAGAAUAGUGCUCUUUAUAAAUAAGAGUAGGCGUGGAGAGCUUUUUGCGGGGAAACUUGCAAGUCAAGUUUGGGGGGAGGCGGGCGUCGACCCAACCUUAUGAGUAUUCGGACUAUAACAGUUCCGAUGAACAGUCACUCACUUUUGACAGUUAUACGAUUCCAGAAGAUGAUCCAGAAUUGGGUCAAUCACGUUUAUUAGAAGUUGACAAUAGAGUGGUUGUACCAGCCAAAACUCAUCUACGUAUGAUUGUAACACCCGCUGAUGUACCUCAUAGUUGGGUUGUACCUUCCUCAGGUGUCAAAUGUGAUGCUGUACCUGGUCGUUCAAAUCUUACCUCCAUCUCGGUACAACGAGAAGGAGUUUACUAUGGUCAGUGCAGUGAGAUUCGUGGAACUUAUCAUGCCUUUACGCCUAUCGUCGUAGAAGCAGUGACUUUGAAAGAUUAUGCGGAUUGGGUAUCCAAUCAAUUAAUCCUCCAAACCAACUAAACCGGGGAAGCUGAAGCGGAAAUGCAAUUCUCGGGUGAGGGAAGGGGGAAGCUCCAGGAAGGCUUCGCUCGCUCGCUCAAAAAGCUCUAACGCUCGUUUACGAGUGGAGUGCAUAAGCCCUUAUUGAAGUAGGGUGAGGCCUUACUACACGAGCUCGUAAGUCAAGCACGGAACGAGCCUUGUCUACGAAGCUUCGCUUCAUCAUCUUGCUUGCUUCUGGCGAAGCUUAACGCACUAUAACAUAGGCAUGCAUGAUGGUAUGGUAGGAAGACUCCUUUUAAGGCCGACCACUACAUAGGAGCGAUAGGAAGCCAAGCCGUCAAAAGGAAAGGCGAGCAGCCCUUAUUGCAAUAGCAAACGGCCUACUUAUAGCCCUAUUUAUACCCUUUCUCGGGGACUUCAACGGGCCUUACAAGCUCAAUAAAUUGCAAUUCUUCACCUUUUCCUCAGACAGUGGGAAUGCAUUUUCUUACUUGAUUGACAUUGACAGAUAUGUGUACCACACCGAACAAGCAAUAUGUCAUAUGCUUGAUGUACCAGCCAAGCCAGCUCUUUUUUUCUCAGUUCCCUUAUCCUUAGCGCAAAAGUAAAAAGAAAAUGAAAGAGAGUUUGUAUUUGCAAAUGAAAAUGAAUAUGGAUCUAAAUAAAUUAGAUAAUCAAUCAAUAAAUAAGAAUUGGAAUAAUAGAAAAAAUAUCCUUCGCCCCUUAUCUCUUCAUCAUCGUCGGUUCCGUCACUUGUGGUAUUCGUUUAGAAUCUUGUUGACCCUACUCGCUUACUCCUAUUUUCCUUAUUUCUUUUUCGACAUAAUUAAUUAGAACUUUCUUGAAAGAAUGGGGUUCUCUCUGGGGGGGCGCACCCUCUCUUCCUUUUUGAGAAAGACGGGCUUGUUUUUUUUUCAAUAAGUUCUAUUGCUUUGACACAUUUAGUAUAUAACAUAAUAUAUAUAAGAAAAAAGUACUAAAGGCGAAGGGCAUUCUGUUGUACAGCUACUUUGGUAUAGUUACAAAGGUAACCGGUAGGUGACUGUUGAAUCGACAGUAGUUACGAAAGGGGGAAAUAGCUGAGUUGGUUAGAGUGCUGGUCUGUCACGCCAGAAGUCGCGGGUUCGAACCCCGUUUUCCCCGCCCGAUCUUUCUUUCUUCCUGAGGUCAUACCUCUGCCACUUUACCCUGAGUUUCACUAAGGCAUAUAACCCCAUUCAGGUAAGAGGAGCAAGCAGUGGGGAACAUCUAUUUAUAUGCGUGUUAGCAUCAACAGCAUCUUUUUUCAAGUCAAUUACAUCGAUCCUCGGUGCUAGGUACUCAGGUAAGUCAAUCCUGAGGAUAGAACUAGAGCAAGUAAGCUCAUCGCACUAUCAAGUCAGUCAGGAAUUAGCGUAUAGAAACGUAUGCGCAGGCGCAACAAAGCGCUCAUCCCUUGUUCUUUCGCUUGGAAGCUCAAUCCCCUCGCUUCUUCUUUCGCCUCUACGCUCGUGCUUUCAGCAAGUUCGUACCAGUCGUCAGUCAAGGAGGGAGCUCCAACCUCCGCGCCUAGCCGCAGCCUAAACGCUGGUUCUAUCCCGGCCAAGCAAGCAAGGGGAACCCCGGUGGGAAGAGGAAAGAAAGAUCAGGGGAAGAAGCGGGGUAGAGGAAUUGGUCGACUCAUCAGGCUCAUGAUCUGAAGACAGCAGGUUCGAAUCCUGUCCCCGCCUCUGCACAAGGCUAUCCUUCGUUGCACACCUAAUGGAAAGCACUGGCUAGAUUUCCGAUGAAGGAAGCCGUCUACUAACCGGAAUACUACAGCAGAGGACAAAACUAGGGACUUCGAAAACGAGGAUAGUUUGCCAGGUAGGGAUACCGUUGUUCGAAUUGAAAAAAGAUACCUUUCCCCAGAGAGAUAGGAUUCGAUUAGGGAUACCGAUAAGGAAGGGGUCUGGUGCUCAGGGGAGUACUAGCUCCUGCGUUAGCCUCAAUCGAACCAUUCGCCAUUCCUAGUACUUUUUUUAGGAGCCGGUGCCGAAACAGAGGUGGGAGCCGUAGAAGAUCCAAUGAACUGUUCCCUUAACAAAGCAAUCGAAGGAAGGGACAAGAUCAAAAAUAAUUUGAUCACAGACUUGGGGCUUUGUUGACACGGGGUUCGUCGGCCCGGCUUUCACUUGGAAAAAUAGGAGAUUGAGUUCCACAUUAGUGCAAGCCAGAUUAGACCGUGCUCUUGUGUCCCCUUCUUGGGAUUCUCUUUUUCAAUCGUAAAGACUCUUUACCUUGCUUUUGGAACAGGUUCCCCCUCUGCUGUUUACCGGCGAUGUUUUGAUCCUCUUGAGUUGAAAGAGCAGCAAGGGCAAAUGCUUCUACAAGGUCAUCAACUCCUCGGGCAACAACGUCACCUGCUUUUUUAGGUUGCUUCAGAUAUAGAUGGGUAAGGUCUUUCAAAGGCUUUUGGGGAUGAAAAGGUUGGCUUCAAUAGUCUAUCUUGCCUUUCUAUUCUCCAGUGUAGGGUGACAGCAGCAUUUUCAUUUUCUCUUUCCUAGAUCCAUUAGAAACUCGUCGUAAAUAGCGGCACGUUAGAACAUUAUCUACAUGUUUCCUUUUCUUGCUUCAUGGCACAUGCCUAUUGUAAAACAUACCUACCGGGAGAAAAGUACCAGUUUGUGAACAUGCCAUUCCCUUUCUUCGUGCACUCAUUUACUAGAUAGUCAGGAACCUUCUUUUGACUUGACCAGCUUACUUUACUAGUAGAGUAGUAGGCCUUUGCUUCUGAACGACCUUACAAAAUGGAUCAACUAGAAAUGAAUCGGUGUCAUAAACGAAUUUCGCUAACCGUAGUAGUAAAUAGCGUGACACCAAGCAAUCGAUCAAAGCCAACUCAAGUUGUAUGGAAGGUGGACGGUCGAAUUACCCAACUGAAAUGAAGAAAGCAAUCCGCAUAGCCGGAGUCCAGUUGGAUAGUUCAGGCUACGGAAGAAGACAUGAUGUCAUUUCUCUUAUCGAUACAGGAAAAUGAGCUAUUAGUAGAAACUACCUGGAAUUGCCGUGAACCAUCCGAGAGUAACCGCGCACCCGAGGUGUUCAAAGCCCCUUAGCAAUGGGAACGGAAUAGCGGAAAUUCCAUACGUUGAUCACCAAUGUUGCAUGUCUUUCCUUAAGCUGGAGUACUUUGAGUUAGAAGGCCUACUUUAUUCGUCCUUUUAAAGCCUACUUAUUCGUCUAGCUAUUUCCAAUUCUAAUAAAUAACCCGAUCAUAUCAUAUCUUGGAAAACCCUAAGACUACCCAAGGCUGUACCCUACAGUGUUACCUAUAGUCUAUACUUGUGUAUACGUUGCCUUCUGGCUCAGCAGGUAGCAACCAGAUCGAGAUUCCUCAUUUCAUCCCGAAGGAAAGCUCGGUGGAAUCACCUAUUUCUACCCUUGUUGGUUGCCCUUCCAAUCAGAAAAAGAACAAAAAAAGCGAGAAAACGUAUGCACAGGUUUCCUGUGCAACGGCUUUCGAGUAUAAUAAAUUAGGGAAAAUGAUGAUUCCGUCCAGCUAAAGAUCAUUCGCUCUUACCUCGUUCUGAGGGGGCACUACCCGGAACCGCUGAUCGAUACCAUCCACCUCUUGCAUUUUAAGCAUAUAGGCGCAUGGAAAGGACGGGAUAUGUCAUACAAAGAAGUUUGAAUCAAAUCACAGUCCUUGAUUCGCCGUAUCGUCUUGUGCAGACAGCAAUGGUGGCUAGUGUAAGUAGGGAUGACGGAUCUGACGUGAGUCUACCGAUCCUAAAAUGGUGAACCGGAUUGUUUUUUUUGAGGAAUCUUUAAAACAGUGACUUUUCUCUGCGCCAACCAGGGGCGGUAGUCCCACGUAUUUAUCUGUUAGAGCUUCGGUCAUGAUGUUCAAAGCUGUGCAAACCUCCACUCUAUGAUCAACAGUAGUAUUAGGACUAAAAUAGAUGCUUGAUUUACCGUCGCUUACCAGCUGGCCAGAUGAGGCGCAGUAAGAAUCAAGACAGUUCUUCAGACAGGCUGCAUUACUUGCAUCAGCCUUCAUCAAAAUGAGGGAGUCGUCAGCAAACAAGAGGUGUGACACCGAGGGGGCGUCCCGGCACACCUUCACUCCCGAAAGAUUAUUGUUCUCCUCAGCAUGAAGUAACAAGCUUGAGAGCCCCUAUGCACAUAAAGGAAAAAGUACGGACUGAGGGGGUCUCCUUGGCGAAGCCCUUUUGAGGGUACAAAACUAUCAGUUUCAUGGUCAUUAAACCGAACAAGGUACUUUACAUAUGAUACACAUUCCAUCAUCAAAGAAACCCAUCUUGGUGCAAACCCCAUCUUAAGCAUUAUUUCUUUCAGGAAGCACCAUUAAUCUCUGGUAAUAUUCCCGGUUGGCAAGCAUUUUGUUAAUCACCCUAUAAAUAACGUUACAUAGGCUUGUCUUUAUUGCGUUACCUUUUCUGCAUUCUCCACUUUUGGUAUCAGCACGAUCACUGUGUCAUUCCAGCCCUCAGAUAUGUUUUGUGUUCACGGCCUGGAGUACUUCAGUCACUAAGUCAUUCUCAAGCAUCGGCCAGAAAUGCUUGAAAAAUACAGCAUGAAGCCCGUCUGGUCCCGGGGCCCUCAAAUCCCCAAUAUUGAACAGUGAUUUCUUUAUUUCGUCUGCUGUGAAUGGAGCCAGGAGACUCUCAUUCAUCUGCUGCGUGACCCUCGCCCGCACCUUGUUAAUCACAUCCGGGUCUGGAGCUAGGACCUCGGAGGUAAACAGAUGAGAGAAAUAGCCCUAAAUAUGUGCACCGAGUAAGUCAUUACCUUCUAUUCGAUCUCCAGUAUCGCUCAUCAAGUACUUGAUCAGAUUCCUAUUUUUUCUUCCAAUUGCAAAGUGGUGGAAAAAAUUUGUAUUUCGGUCACCAUGUCGUAGCCAAUUGGCUCCGCCCCGCUGGAGCCAUGCUACUUCUUCUUGUUCAAACAGGUUCUCGAGCAGCAGUCAAAUUGACUUCCCCUGCUUGAGCGUAAUGCCCGCCUCUGGUGUGGUGGAAAAAGCCUCGUUUUCUAUUCCUUUUAAAGCUGCUGAUGCGAGCUACCGAACAAACAAGAUUAGUACAAAAAGCCACAACUAGCACUAGCUUUCGUGAUUGCUUCUUUCUACCUUUCUCACUCCGGUAAUUGCUCCUUCUCCAAAAUAUCACUACGGACAAGAUGAGCUAAUAGAAAAAGUUAGGGCAACAGAUGAUAGCGACUCGCCAGACUCGAACUGGCAUAGGCGGAUCGGAUCAAACGAAAUUAGCCUUUCUUCCAUCAACAGGAAUCGCUUUGAUUUCGCAGUUCAAGAGGAUGGCGGGGGCAACCUCUCUACAUCUGCGGGCCGGUAGGCCAGCCAACUAACUCUUCAAAUGAAGAACUUAUUUCCCCACAUCUAGGAACCUCUCAUUACCAGUCCUCGGGAUUCCGGAGGUUGGUCGGGUUCUCAAAGUCUUUCCACUCAGUCCAGAGGUUUUUCUGGUUCAUCGAAUCUAAUUUAUCCCAGUCAGGCCCGAUUCUCUGGGUCAAAGAAUCUCGUAUAUCCCCCCGGGUAUAUCUUCCACUCUUAAAAGUUUUAAUUUGGCUUUAGGGAGGUCUGAAAUCCUUCUUUUCCAAAUUCCCCCCAAAUAAUGACUUUUACGUAAUUCCUCAUUACUUCGCAAACUUUUAAGGAUCUCCCUUAAGGUUUUUACAUCAUAUUCUUCUCCGUUUCCUUUUCGGAUGGCAUUGCCAGCACCAUCCGUAUUCCAAAGGAUGUGGCAAUUUUGAGGGCCAGAUUUAUCCAUUAGCUCCGCUAGUAUUGACGAUUUCUUAAUAUAAAUUAUCUCUACUAGUGUCAUAAGCUUCUCUUGGGAUAAUCCCGAGGUUUUCCUAGUGGCAUCAAGAUGCACCAAAUUGAAAUAGAUUUGCUCUUUGCUAAGAGGUACAUGAAUGGUAGGAGAUACAUCCAUAUCCAUGGUUGGAGAUAAAUCCAUUGGUGGAUUCGAAGUACUUGGGCCUGCACCUCCAUAAUUUUCUAAUAUCGGUGGAGUCGAAGUACUUGGACCUGCACCUCCAUAAUUUUCUAAUAUUGGGUUAUGCAGACGACCAGGAAUUUUAUAAAACAUAUUAUUCUCCCCAAUUGCAUGUCUUGUCAUACAGUCAAGAAAAUGAGCUUGGGAUUGAAAAUCGAGUUGCAAACUUAAAGGUAUAGCUGGCCCUUGUAUAGGUUGGAGCUCCGUGAACCCUUGUGGGGCUGGCGUCUCCUGAACUAUUUGAGCAGCCCCCCCUUGUGGCUGGGGUAGACUCUCAGUAGUAUUGGUAAAGAAGGGCUGGGCUGCCGCUAAUAAUUCAAAGACAGCCGAAGAAACGGUUCUCAUGGGGUUCAGUCUCACAAGAGACACUUUUCUUCCUCGGGGUGAAGAGGUGGAGUGCAUGCCAGUGGACACCGUCUUAAAAGUGCCUCUGCUAAGAGAUGGUGGUGUCUCUCUACUAAUCGCAUUCUGUUUAAGAAUCACUGUUUUCAUGAUCGAAUGACGAAAUAGAUAUACGAACUGUAUAGGAUCAUUCGCUGGGAUGGGAUAAGUGAUUCUUUUAUAGGAUUCCCAUGGGAUCGUAGAAUCAACUAAGGAUGGAAUAGGUAUUUGUGAUCGAUCAGCUUCCAGUCUGACCGAAGACUUUCUAUCUGCAUUCAGAAUAACCACACAAUCAGGUUGUUGGUUCAACCCAAAAUUGAUCUUCUUCUUUCUUGAACGGAAUUUUUUUUUAUUUGCAAAAGAAUUGGUCAAAAACGCCCCGAUCUUCCAUUGAGAAUCAUCGAAACAAUGAGAAUUCACAUUUCUUAAAUAGCUUCUUAAAUAGCUCGCCAUUUCUUCCGUUAUCUCAUAAAUAAAUAAAUGAUUGGUCUUUAAAAAGAAGGAACGGCCUUUUUGACGAAUGGGAGAUCCUAUAAAAUGAAGAGCGUUUCGUAAACAAAUCAGUGUCUUGUCUGAAUCGAGAAUAGCAAUUCCAUUUCUUGAACCACGGAUAUAGACUUUGAAAUGGUGAUCAGCUACCCGAAGGCCGAGAUGUGCAUUCGUACAAAGUAAUUUAGUACAGACUAUCGAAAGCAUUGUCAUUUUGCGAUUUGAGUUCCGGAGAUACAGGUGGUAAGUUAUGGGUAAUGCGGGGGAACUUUAAGACGAGAUAGGAUACCUAAUAUGGGAGUGGUUUAAGUGAGAGACUAGCUCCCUUACCAAACCAACUGAGCUAUUUGCCAUGUUUUUGACAAAUGACCUAACUUUGAUGUGAUGUGCCCGGCUAGCCCGGAUCAUUCUUAGAGCAGUCGAGGUUACCGGAAUUACGGCCUUCCAUACAAGAACUGGCACUAUUGUAACUCGCUAUGGGCCUCCUGCCUUCUCGAAAGAAACUGGCUUUUGAAGAAAUUACUCUAUUUUACGCAUUUAGUUGAAGCGGAUUCAAAGAGCUCUAUCGAGCAAGGAAGGAGUAUACUAUACUGUAGCUGGAUAAGCUAGAUACCAAAACUUUGAUAAAGAUUGAGGCAACCCAUUUGAGGAAGAACCGGACGGACCCCUGUGGAGAUGGCUAGAACAAUCCUCGAUGAGGCACUGCGCAUGGUAUCUUGCUUGGCUACCCUGGACACUCGUCUGGAUAUCCUUCCAUGACAAUUAUGACCUUUAAAGGUAUCCAGAUAGUUACCAAAUUCACCUGAACUUUCAGAGUUGGAACUGAUUGGACAUAGUAGUAGGUACCAAAACUCCACAGCAACAUUACAUUAACCAAUAUGUGGGCAGAUCCUUCUGUCCAAUUGAGAGUGCAUUGGAUAUAGAAGAAGCUGGACAAGUGAACUCGCUUUAAACCAACUAAAUGCAAUUGUACGGGAAUCAACUUCUCAUUUAUUGCCUUUUCAGUUGAUGAUCCACUUGGAUAUGCUCUUGUGGAGGACUUAAUGAUUAUUCGUUCGCCGGAACCAGAAGUAAAAAUUGUUGUGGAUAGGGAUCCUGUAAAAACAUCUUUUGAGGAAUGGGCCAGACCCGGCCAUUUCUCAAGAACACUAGCUAAGGGCCCUGAUACUACCACUUGGAUCUGGAACCUACAUGCCGAUGCUCACGAUUUCGAUAGUCAUACUGGUGAUUUGGAGGAGAUUUCUAGAAAAGUCUUUAGUGCUCAUUUCGGGCAACUUUCCAUUAUCUUUCUUUGGUUGAGUGGCAUGUACUUUCAUGGUGCCCGUUUUUCCAAUUAUGAAGCAUGGCUAAGUGAUCCUACUCACAUUGGACCCAGUGCUGAGGUAGUUUGGCCUAUAGUAGGGCAAGAAAUAUUGAAUGGUGAUGUAGGUGGGGGUUUCCGAGGAAUCCAAAUAACCUAAGGUUUUUUUAAGCUUUGGCGAGCAUCUGGAAUAACUAGUGAAUUACAACUCUAUUGUACUGCAAUUGGUGCAUUGAUUUUUGCAGCGUUAAUGCUUUUUGCUGGUUGGUUCCAUUAUCACAAAGCCGCUCCACAGUAGUAAAGUCUCAUCUUUUGUAUUGGCCGAAGUGACAAUAGUCACAUUGAACCCUCGAAUAUGCUUGAAGAUCUCGAAAUGAUCUUCCAGUUCCGGGGAGAAUUCGCAAAACUCCGUUUCCAUAAAGAAUUUGAUGGAGUUUUCCCGUAUUUCGACCGGAGAAUCUAACAUAGACAUUACUGUCAAGAUUCUUACCAAAAAAUGGUACAUUCUAUGCCCUCGGAGAACGCUUUGUCGUGCAAAGUCACUGACAUAUCCAGUGUCUUUUUCGGACCCCAAGAAUGGAUUGGAUCGAAACGACUUUCCUACUUGAAAAUAGGGGCCCCUUUGUGUCUGUAUGAAUCUCUGACCGCACAAAAUCUCCAUAGCCAAUUUUCCAAAUUGGAUUCUGAAAUCAGAGGCAGCUUUUGGUACUAAUCUUAUUUCAAACAAUCCAGGAACUUCCAUAACAUUGGCGUGAUUCAGUUUGAGCAACAGAUCCUGACGUAAUACAUCUUCGUAAUGAAAAUGGAGUGGAAACAUCAUGGCUUUUCCGCUUUUUUUGAGAAUGAGCACUGUGAACUAUCCGCUUCAAAAAGGAUAGUUGAUCGAACCGAAACCAACGUCAAGUACGAGUUAUUAAGCGCCGAAUCAAAAAAAGUGUACUUCCUUUACGCUUGAUGUAGGAUUUACCUAUUAAUAUGAAGUUCACUCUUCUGCUGACUUGAGUCCAGAAGGGAAGCGACUGAUUUCCAAUUCUUCUUUGCUAGCGCUUGACUCCUGUGGAAUUCCAUUAACAAGCUUAAAAGAAAGCCUUUUAUUUGGUUUUUGAGAUACUAGUUAUUUAUAGGUUAAGUUCGAUAUUUCACUCCGUGGGCCGGCUAAUUAAUUCAAGUAAUUCCUGGAGGGGAAUCAAUCGAAGAGAUUGCCUGCCCAUGCUACAAUUCCUUACUCAAAAGGACUAGAGUGCUAAGCUGCCUUCCCAGCACCACCACUAUAAUGAAUGGCUCAAACAAAUAGGAGAUGAGAAUAUAAUUGAUCCUUUCUAGAAUAGAAUAUAAAGAGAAGCUUGCCUUGAUAAAGCACAGCCUUUCGCACUCCAAUAGGCAUAUAUUGUUACAAGGUUAUGCCCAAAGGUCUCAAAAACGCCGGUGCUACAUAUCAACGCGCCAUGACUAAGAUCUUCGAUGAGAUAAUACAUAAGAUUGUCGAGUGCUAUGUAGAUGAUCUCGUUGUAAAGGCGGUAUCCUAUGAAGAACAUCUUCAACAUCUCAGAAUCGUAUUCGACCGCCUAAGGCAACAUGCACUCAAGUUAAACCCGUUGAAGUGCGCCUUCAUGGUCUCGUCAGGCAAAUUCCUAGGGUUUGUCAUUCGACAUCGGGGAAUAGAAAUCGACCCGAGUAAAAUCAAGGCCAUACUCGAAAUGCCUCCUCCUCAAAACCUUAAGGAGCUGCGUUCGCUUCAAGGGCGCCUGGCAUACAUCAGGCGAUUCAUAGCCAAUUUUGCAGGAAGAAUCCAACUCGAAUUAAGAUACCAACCAAGACUUCCCAUUCGCCGGGCGAGAUGAUCGGAUUUCGUUCCCCAUUUUCGAUAAGGUAUUAGUUUAGGUCUCUGCUGAGCCACUGAGCUAGAAGUGGCUAUAGUUAUGGGUCUCGUCUCAAUGAAGCCAUCUUCUCCCCGAAAACUCUCUAUUUAGGAUCAAUGCCAUGUCCGAGUCAGUGUGGUUCCCCCGGCGCUGCUGUACUGACCAAGAGGUCUGAUUCAGUUGAAACACCCGAGUUAGCUAUUGAUAAAGGUCGCUCAUUGAAAGGUCCAAAGAUACAAAUAAAUUAAGAUGUAGCUUUCUUAGUUUCAUACUUAUAGUAGGCGAUCCCUUGUUUUUUUGACCCGGUAGAGCAAUCCGAAUUAGAUUUGAUAUAGGGAUCGUUCGUUUCUUCUCCACUUUACCCCGAUGUUUUAUGAGAAAUCAUUAUUUGUUUUUGUAUCACGCUGUUAUCUUUUUCGUUUCUCGAAAUAUCGAGUGAGAAUCUCAUUCAGCUUUUGAGGAUCCUCCAAAUUGUACUUAAGAUCAAUAAGGUCCCUAAGUGAUGUGGCGUCCUUUCCCUCGCAUUUCAUGAUUUGGUUGAUCCUAUCGGAAAAAGCACGGUGGAAGGCAUCUGCCCCCAGAGCCCUCAUGGGGGCACUUUGCUUAAAGUGUCUGAGUAGCCUUGAACCGAAAAUUUCAUUUUUAUCUAUUUGUUCGAUAACCGCCUUUCGAGCGUCAUCGUCGGAUGAUGGAUACUUCUGUCGUACUUCUUCAUAGGUAUUUUCCCUUUUUAUGGUUUCCAAAAGGUUCACCCCGAAAUCUUGGUCCCGCUUUGCAUCUAUUUCAGCUAGGGAACAAGACUGGCUUUUGGAAGGUUUCCCUCCAUCUGCCGGAUCCAAGAGAGGGCCUGUGGUUGGGGUGGCGCCGCUCUCCUCCGGGCUGAAGGGAAUUUCUAUUAGGUCGUCCCGGGUACGCACUGAACUAAAGAAAAUUGGUUCUAUUAUCACAAAGCCGCUCCCAAAUUGGCCUGGUUCCAAGAUGUAGAAUCCAUGUUGAAUCACCACUUAGCGGGAUUAUUAGGACUUGGGUCUCUUUCUUGGGCGGGACACCAAAUUCAUGUAUCUUUACCAAUUAACCAAUUUCUUGACGCUGGGGUGGAUCCUAAAGAGAUACCACUUCCUCAUGAAUUUAUCUUGAAUCGGGACCUUUUGGCUCAACUUUAUCCUAGUUUUGCCGAAGGAGCAACCCCUUUUUAUCACUUUAAAUUGGUCCAAAUACGCAGAAUUUCUGACUUUUCGCGGAGGACUAGAUCCAGUAACCGGUGGUCUCUGGCUGACCGAUAUUGCGCACCAUCAUUUAGCUAUUGCUAUUCUUUUCCUAAUCGCAGGUCAUAUGUAUAGGACCAACUGGGGUAUUGGCCAUGGACUUAAAGAUAUUUUGGAGGCUCACAAGGGCCCAUUUACAGGACAAGGCCAUAAGGGUCUUUAUGAAAUCUUAACAACGUCAUGCCAUGCUCAAUUAUCUCUUAACCUAGCUAUGCUAGGCUCUACAACCAUUGUUGUAGCUCAUCAUAUGUAUUCUAUGCCUCCCUAUCCAUACCUAGCUACUGACUAUGGUACACAACUUUCCUUGUUCACACACCACAUGUGGAUUGGCGGAUUUCUAAUAGUCGGUGCUGCUGCACAUGCAGCAAUUUUUAUGGUAAGAGACUAUGAUCCAACUACUCGAUACAACGAUCUAUUAGAUCGCGUCCUUAGACACCGCGAUGCAAUCAUAUCCCACCUUAACUGGGUAUGUAUAUUUCUAGGUUUUUACAGUUUUGGCUUGUACAUUCAUAAUGAUACCAUGAGUGCUUUAGGCCGUCCACAAGAUAUGUUUUCGGAUACCGCCAUACAAUUACAACCUAUCUUUGCUCAAUGGGUACAAAAUAUCCAUGCUACUGCGCCUGGCGUAACAGCUCCUGGUGCAACAACAAGUACUAGCUUAACGUGGGGAGGCGGCGAGUUAGUAGCAGUAGGUGGCAAAGUGGCUUUGUUACCUAUUCCAUUAGGAACCGCGGAUUUUUUAGUCCAUCACAUUCAUGCAUUUACCAUACAUGUGACUGUAUUAAUACUUUUGAAAGGUGUUUUAUUUGCUCGGAGUUCCCGUUUGAUACCCGAUAAAGCAAAUCUAGGUUUUCGCUUUCCUUGCGAUGGGCCUGGCCGAGGGGGAACAUGUCAAGUAUCUGCCUGGGAUCAUGUUUUCUUAGGUUUAUUCUGGAUGUACAAUGCAAUUUCGGUAGUCAUUUUCCAUUUCAGUUGGAAAAUGCAGUCGGAUGUUUGGGGUACCAUAAGUGAUCAAGGGGUGGUAACUCAUAUUACAGGGGGAAACUUUGCACAGAGUUCCAUUACGAUUAAUGGGUGGCUUCGAGAUUUCUUGUGGGCACAGGCAUCGCAAGUCAUUCAGUCUUAUGGUUCUUCAUUAUCUGCAUAUGGUAUUUUUUUCUUAGGUGCUCAUUUUGUCUGGGCCUUCAGUUUAAUGUUUUUAUUCAGCGGCCGUGGUUAUUGGCAAGAACUCAUUGAAUCUAUCGUUUGGGCUCAUAACAAAUUCAAAGUUGCUCCUGCUACUCAGCCUAGAGCCUUGAGCAUUAUACAAGGACGUGCUGUAGGAGUAACCCAUUACCUUCUGGGUGGAAUUGCCACGACAUGGGCAUUCUUCUUAGCGAGAAUUAUUGCAGUAGGAUAGUGGCUAGGAGGAUUUGAAAGGCAUUAUGGAAUUAAGAUUUCCCAGGUUUAGCCAAGGCUUAGCUCAGGACCCCACUACUCGUCGUAUUUGGUUUGGUAUUGCUACCGCACAUGAUUUCGAAAGUCAUGAUGAUAUUACUGAAGAACGUCUUUAUCAGAACAUUUUUGCUUCUCACUUUGGGCAAUUAGCAAUAAUCUUUCUAUGGACGUCCGGAAAUCUGUUUCAUGUAGCUUGGCAAGGAAAUUUGGAAUCAUGGAUACAGGAUCCUUUACACGUAAGACCUAUUGCUCAUGCGAUUUGGGAUCUCAUUUUGGUCAACCCGCUGUGGAAGCCUUUACUCGAGGAGGUGCUGCUGGUCCAGUGAAUAUUGCUUAUUCUGGAGUUUAUCAGUGGUGGUAUACAAUAGGAUUACGCACCAAUGAAGAUCUUUAUACUGGAGCUCUUUUUCUAUUAUUUCUUUCUACGCUGUCCUUAAUAGCGGGUUGGUUACAUCUACAACCCAAAUGGAAACCAAGCCUUUCGUGGUUCAAAAACGCGGAAUCUCGUCUCAAUCAUCAUUUGUCAGGACUUUUCGGGGUAAGUUCUUUGGCUUGGACAGGACAUUUAGUUCAUGUUGCUAUUCCCGCAUCCAGGGGGGAGUACGUUCGAUGGAAUAAUUUAUUAGAUGUAUUACCCUAUCCCCAGGGGUUGGGACCCCUUUUGACGGGUCAGUGGAAUCUUUAUGCCCAAAACCCUGAUUCGAGUAAUCAUUUAUUUGGUACCGCUCAAGGAGCGGGAACUGCCAUUCUAACUCUUCUUGGGGGAUUCCAUCCACAAACACAAAGUUUGUGGCUGACUGAUAUGGCUCACCAUCAUUUAGCUAUUGCAUUUAUUUUUCUCAUUGCCGGUCACAUGUAUCGAACUAACUUCGGAAUUGGGCACAGUAUUAAAGAUCUUUUAGAAGCGCAUACUUCUCCGGGGGGUCGAUUAGGGCGUGGGCAUAAGGGCCUUUAUGACACAAUCAACAAUUCGAUUCAUUUUCAGUUAGGUCUUGCUCUAGCUUCUUUAGGGGUUAUUACUUCCUUAGUAGCUCAACAUAUGUACUCUUUACCUCCUUAUGCAUUCAUAGCACAAGACUUUACUACUCAAGCUGCUUUAUAUACUCAUCACCAAUAUAUUGCGGGGUUCAUCAUGACAGGGGCUUUUGCUCAUGGAGCAAUUUUUUCCAUUAGGGAUUACAAUCCGGAACAGAAUGAGGAUAAUGUAUUGGCAAGAAUGUUAGACCAUAAAGAAGCUAUCAUAUCUCAUUUAAGUUGGGCUAGCCUCUUUCUAGGAUUCCAUACCUUGGGCCUUUAUGUUCAUAACGACGUCAUGCUUGCUUUUGGUACUCCAGAAAAGCAAAUCUUGAUCGAACCUAUAUUUGCCCAAUGGAUACAAUCUGCUCAUGGCAAGACGACAUAUGGGUUCGAUAUACUCUUAUCUUCAACGAAUGGCCCCACUUUCAAUGCGGGUCGAAGCCUAUGGUUGCCCGGAUGGUUGAAUGCUGUUAAUGAGAAUAGUAGUUCGCUUUUCUUAACAAUAUGACCAGGGGAUUUCUUGGUUCAUCAUGCUAUUGCUCUAGGUUUGCAUACAACUACAUUGAUUUUAGUAAAGGGCGCUUUAGAUGCACGCGGUUCCAAAUUAAUGCCGGAUAAAAAGGAUUUUGGGUAUAGUUUUCCUUGUGACGGCCCAGGGCGCGGCGGUACUUGUGAUAUUUCUGCUUGGGACGCAUUUUAUUUGGCAGUUUUCUGGAUGUUAAAUACCAUUGGGUGGGUUACUUUUUAUUGGCAUUGGAAACAUAUCACAUUAUGGCAGGGCAACGUUUCACAAUUUAAUGAAUCCUCCACUUAUUUGAUGGGAUGGUUAAGAGAUUACCUAUGGUUAAACUCUUCACAACUUAUCAAUGGAUAUAAUCCUUUUGGGAUGAAUAGUUUAUCGGUAUGGGCGUGGAUGUUCUUAUUUGGACAUCUUGUUUGGGCUACUGGAUUUAUGUUCUUAAUUUCCUGGCGGGGGUAUUGGCAGGAAUUAAUUGAGACUUUAGCAUGGGCUCAUGAACGCACACCUUUAGCUAAUUUAAUUCGCUGGAGAGAUAAGCCCGUGGCUCUUUCCAUUGUGCAAGCAAGAUUGGUUGGAUUAGCUCACUUUUCCUUGGGUUAUAUAUUCACUUAUGCAGCUUUCUUGAUUGCCUCAACAUCAGGCAAGUUUGGUUAAUUUAGUUUGUUUUUUUGUACUGUAUCAGCACCUAGUUCAUUACUCUUGAUAGAGAGGGAGGAUCCGCCUUCUUAGAUUUCUUUUUCUAUUUAUUUUUCCAUCUAGGAUUAGAACCGUAUACUUGGUAAUAAUAGCAACGGCACAUUAUGGCAAAAAAAAGUUUGAUUCAGAGGGAGAAGAAGCGGCAGAAAUUAGAACAGAUUCCAAGUAGGUUCGAAUCCUGCCAGUUCGCUAAGUAGACUCACUCUACCGAGGGGCAACUAAGGUUGGUUCCUGCCAAUUCCCUUGCUGAUCAGCCUUGGAAUUGGCAAGUAUGAGAGAGUCCUCUCUCUGUCUCUCCGAGUUUCAACUACUAAGUGAAGUUAAGUAGCACUUCAGCUAUUCUAAAUGUGAAUAGAUUCUGAUCAAGCAAGCAGGAGAAGGUGGUCCUUUCAUCUCUCUGUCUGCUCCAUGCUCUAUAGCCUAAGGAUCAUGAGCAGGUUUAAUGCUAGAAAAAACGAGAUCUUCCUAAUCAUUUCGGUAGAUGAAGUAGUGGGAGGUCACGAAGGAAGUAAGGGGGCAUGUUAAGUUGAUAAUUUCGAACAUUGUAGCAUCCUUUUGACGGUUGGGCUUUGAGUUGAUAACUUUUAAGAACUCUUAAUAUGAAAAUACACAUUCUAAAAUGACGCAUCGAGCGAGACCAUUCUGUUUCAUUGUGAAUGAAAGACGUUUUCGACCAACAACAUCUACUCAUAUCCAGCUUCGUGUCAUUUUUGAACACUGCGAUCAGCAAGCAGCAAGCGGGGGAGAGUCAAGUCAAGUACAACACAGGACUGACGGGGUGGGGCGCGCCAAAGCAACCCGGGACCCCUCCGGGGUCACUACAAAAGCGCUGGCGCCUUCUUUUGAAGGUGAAAAACUACGCUAGCUAAGAAAAAGAAAAGGGCUGCGCUAAUGGCAAGGAGCAAGAAAAGGGCAGCUAGCUCGAAAUCCGAUAAAUCGAAUACCUCCUGGCUUCAGUUAUGAGAGAGAACUCCAAGGCAGGAUAAAGACUGAGUUGGAUUCAGCCGCGUGGGGAAUGAAACAACAUUCAUGGAAUGAGUUGAGGCAAAACCUCCAGCUCUUUUUGAGAGUCAGGGGCUUUAAAAGCGCUUUAAAAAGGGCUGUCUGCAUUACUGGAUUCACUAUAUCAAAUUGUAGUAAAAACAAGGGGCCACGUAGACUAUUCUGAGGUGGUAUGCUAAAUCCAUGAUCAACUGAUGUAGCUAGUGUGACUAAAGCAGCAGCUAUUGGCUUAACUGGUUCUAAACUCUCCCACCCGAUAAAGGAAUUGAAAGACUACCCCGGGCCACGUAGACUAUUCCCUUCCGCGGACAUUCUUUUCUAGAAGGAAAGUAGCAAAGCCGAACGCAAAUACACAUGCAAAUUGCGUCGACUACCUCAUCACUGUCCAAAAUGGGGGAUACCGCUAUUCAUACAUGGAUGGACGAGGGACUCCGCUGACAACAUCAGUAGAUGACUUUUCUCGCGGAAUGCUAUUAACGUUGGAAAAAAACACUGCUCUCAAACUCACCCUCCGGGUGAUAGGUAGAAGCAUUAGUACCUAACGGAGCGGUAUCUAACCAAAAAGGGAGGUGAUGUUCUUUUUAUAAACAGGAUGGAGCAUGGCUUCCUUUCUUCUUAGAUACAUUUCAUUCAUUCCAUUUCUCUAUAGUUUACACCUGAACAUCUUGCUAAUCCUGACAGAUCUCGAAAAGGAUGGGGGCACUAGAACCAAAUCUACAUACACAUCGAAACUUCCUAUCUCAGCCAAGCUAGCACCUUCAUCCCACCAAUGCAUUGUACGACUCUCCACCCCCUUUUCCUCCCUCAUGAAAUCCUAAUUUCCCGCAAUGAAAUUCGAUUUCGUUCAUGUCGGCGGUUGGCAAAACGGCCCUGAGAUCCGGGACUGGUAAAACAUGGGUGCCCAAUUUGCUUUUCCGUGCUCCGCCUUAGUGCCCUUAUGAAGGCGGCGGGGAGUCCUUAGCCUUUGAACCAAACUCUAGGGAACGCUCAAUUGCCUGACGUCUCAACUGCAAUGGUGAACUCAGUGACAUACACUGAAAUGGAUUGCAUCUAUUGUUCCAAACAAGGCUGAUAUUAGCAUAAAAGCCCUUCCAUGCAAUUUCUUGCUUCGCUCUACAGACGAAAGUGCCGGAUAGUCAAUGGUAACCAGAAGAUCUAUGGUUUUCGAGAGAAGGUAAUUGGAAAAACGAUUCAUUCCUUUGCUUUCUUUCAGAUAUCUAUUCAAUAAGAUGAUCUGACCUUACCUGAAAACUAGAUUCAUGAAGAAGCCCAAAAAGUGCCGGGCUUAGUGCAGCCCAGUUCCUAGCCAGUGUGGGGUUCUGCUAUGGAUAUUCGGUCCACUCCAGAAUUCCAUUCAUUUUUCAAACGUAACUCGAUUGACUCAAUUCACAAACGGCAAGGAAGUCAAAAGUGACGCUUACAGGUCGUACGACAAUUGCUUCUCUUCCGGGACUACAUACAUCUUUUCUUUAACAACUACCAUACAAGCUAUUCGCUUAAUACAUGCUAGUAGGUAGGCUGGUGGUGGAGUAUUUAUUUUCGUCUUUUUUUGGUCUGUCUGUAUUUCGGUUUUGGGAUGGUGCGAAUCCAUCUAUCCACCAUUCUUUUAUCUUUCAGUAGUGUCAACCUCAGUUCUGGUUCUUUAUCUUGGAAUACUCUCCGUUGUCCUGGAAGCAAUGCUUGAAAGAAAGCGUAAGGAAGCGUCAAAUCAGUAUGAUGUAUUGGCAAAGCCAGUAAGAAGGGAAUCGAAAGUAGAUAGGGACUCCCACUGUAGAUGUGGUUUUAUACCUUGAUGAAUUGGUACCUUAUAGCAUAGCGAAUUGACUUUUCUUUCAAAAGGAUAUAUCAACCUGUAGUGAAACCGGGCCACCGAGCUUGCUUUUACCGCUCUUACAGCUCUCUCUCUUCUUUUUUAUGGGUAGUUUGGCCAGGAAAGAGAAAGAGGAAUGUACCCAUUUCUAUUUAUCCAUUCUCAUAGAAAGUACCAAAAAUGUUUUUGAAUGUAUGGAGCAGGCGUAUGAGUUGAUAUCUUCAAGAGUAAAAUCCUUUUCUUGCCCACCCAGCCAUAAAAGACAAAAAUCGUUACGAGCGGUCUUAAACCCUCACCUCAAUCUCAAAAAUGGAAUUGAAAAGCUCCAAUUUAAAUAAUGGUACCGGGGAAAUACCCAGGGAAGAAUCAUUCUUUGAAUCAUCCAGAUCUAUCAAUUUGCGAAUUCAAUAAAAAACGGACUGAUCCUCGGAAUACACCAUCAUCUUUCGAAGUGCGCAGUCAAUAUUAUGUUAUAUUCAAAGAAACAAGUCAAAGAGUAAAGGCUUCGCCCUUCAAUACCACACUUCCAAUCGAAAUUCCUACGAGAUUGACGUUCGAAGAAAAAGACAUGGUUUGAUAGAAACUUUAAGUGGGUAUCAAAUAAACUGGAAUGAAUGGUAUCAAUUUCUUCUUUUCUAUACUGAAUCUGCUUCGGUAUCUCUUUCUUCCUUCCCUUCUGUAAACCAAGCAGUGACUAGCCUCUGGCACUCACUUUCCAAAGCACCAAUUGACUUGCUUUCAGAACAACCCUGAUCAGUUAUACCUGAAAUACCACCCGUACGUAGUACGCCAUUUCCAACGCGGAGCGCCUUUAUUUUCGUAUUGAACUCCCCUAGGAAGAAAAAGUUAGACCGUAGCCUUGUCGAACAACCUCGUUUCUCGCUUUUGUCGAUUGACUCGUGGGACUCUACUGAGUCCCAGCAUGGGUGUGGUAGAUUACUGACGUGAAGCCGGACCUCUAUGAGUGCUCUACAUGGCCGGAUCAAAGCUAUUCUAAAAACUAGAUCCAUUGGAGUGGGAAGUACUCAAGAUGUAGAAGAGGACUCAAGCAGGUUUGGUCCUCUUUCUCUGAUGUGUUCUUAGAACCCACUACCCUCCCUCCUAAAAGACCAUGUGACCAUCGGAUUCACCUCACGAUAGUCAACCAGUGAAUCAAAGGCCUUAUAGGUAUUCACACCACCGGAUGAAAUUGAAGCCAUAAUCAAGGAGUUACUCUAGAAUGGUACUCUACAACCUAGUUCAUGCCUCACCGGCUCUUCUUUACAAGAAGAAAGAAGGUUCGUGGCGCCUAUGGAUUAUAGGCAACUCAAUGCGCAAACCGUAAAAAAGAAAUACCCGAUACCGGUCAUUGAUGAUCUUCUGGAUGAGCUACACGGUUAUACUGUGUACUCAACAAUCGUUUUAUCUAUUCCCACAUCGAUUCACCAAUCCUGGAACUCGUUAUGGAUAGAAGGUCCGUAGAAGUGAAAGUAGGACGACGGGAGAAAAGAGUAAGGAGUACCGGAAAAAGAAGAUUUUGGACUUUCUGCCCACGAAGAAAUAGUAGCAUUUGAAACUGGAAAGAUUUACUUUGGAUAGUAAAUCCCCAAGGAAGGGCUAUAAUCCAAACAAAGGAGGAGCUAGCGGACAGUUCGAAUUUCAACGAUUAGGGAGGGGAAUGAAACACUUGUCUUUCACAAUCAAUUCUUUCUUUUUUUAUGUUUAGGACACGCGAAGCGAGAGCGAAACUCGCUAUGAGGAGAAGACUCGGCAAGAGAGGUUUGAACAAGAGGAACUGCCGUCUAGUUGAGUUUGAUCAUUCUCUCUUUCUUUCAAGAGCUGAAUAAGGGCAUAUCCGCAAAGGAGAGAGAAAUCGGACUUUCUUCUUUACCCCCCUCAUUAUUCAAGACGUGAAUAUAAAGUGUAUUGUACUCCCUUGGAUCUUUUCCGGGAUCUUUACUCGUCGUUGAUCAAGGAAGCUAGAAGGAAGAUGGGUGGUAGGGUGAAUGGACAUUCGUAUCCUCUCCGACUCGUCGGUUAGGAGAGUAGCGACCAAAAAGAAAUCAUUAUACAGGAUAACUGCUGUAUAGAUAAAAUGUAGGAAGGAGAAAGUUGGUUUCAAUGAGUCAUGUGAAUUGUAGAAGAAAUAGAUAAACAAGGCGGGUUAAUAUAUAUACGUUGAAAAGCAAGGGGAUAAAUUGAACGAAAUGAAGAGCAAUCCAGAAUCCGAUUUUGUAUACUAUAAGAAAAAGGCACUGAAAACUUGGAAACGGAAGAUGUUGUAACAGAUAUGGGUAGUCACACAUUAGGCAAAAUGGUGUAGUGGUUGGGCCAGGUAGCUUCUUCUUUUGAACAGCAUUUCAUUCUGUUUUGGAUGCUUUCUACUAUGUUUCAAGUGAUCAAAGAAGAGUUUAUUUCCCACUACUCAUAUCACAUCUUAUGUGUUGAUGCAAGCUGACUAAAUCAAUAAGAUGGUAUUCGUAUUUGAUUAGACAAGAUGGUAUUCUUCUUUAUUCCGGAGCACAACAAUCCGGAUCUCUAUCUUAUAGCUUAUCCUUCCUAUUCUGUAUGUAUUACGGUCAUGUCAAGUCAAUGGUCUGUCUGCCCUGCAACCGGUCUUGAAUGGCUUCAGUGAAUUGUUUGCUGAGCCUACAGAGUGACCUCCUAGGAGGACAAUAGACCACAAAAUACCCUUACUACCAGGCACUAAACCUGUCAAUCAUUAGAGAAGGGACAGAGUUCAAGAUAAGACUAUCUUGCCUGUUUGGUAGAGAGAGUACCGGGUAUUCCGAUGGUUAAAGAUUCAAGUCUUAGUGGCAAAGGGGGACAGCUUUGGCCUGCAACCGUUUCCACUUUACGGCCCACAGCUUGUGUUCUUCGGUAUUAAUUCAGUUUCUGUUUGUUUGGCUUGUCUCGUGCACCACCUGAAUUGAAUCAUAGUAAUGGGACUUUGGUAAUCCAGUGAUGAAGUCAAUGCUGAUAAUGGACCAUGCUUCAUCAGGAAUGGGUAGAGGAUCGAAGAGGCCAGGGAGUUUUUAAUGUUCUACCUUAGCUUGCUGACAGAUUUUACACUUGUUGACAAAAGAUUCCACUGAUUGAAAGAUUCCUGUCCAAGCAAAUAGUGCCUUGAUGCGGUGAUAAGUAGCACUAAUGCCAGAGUGGGCACCAAUACCACUGGCAUGAAGUGCUUGCAAGAUGUUUUUUUUCAUUUAGAAGUUUGCACCAACCCAUACUCUUCCUCUAUAUCGAAUGACCCCAUUAUGCAAUGAAUAUUUGCUAUUCUUGUGAGUGCUCAGGACUGCCAAUUCAGAUAGUAAAUUCUGGGUGAAUGUGUCUUUGUUGUACCCUGCAACAAUAUCAGUGAGCCAUUGUGGUUGACAGGAAGUAAUGGCAUUGAGUUCAUCUGGCUCAUGUAAUCUAGAUAGUGGUGCAUCAGCUGCCCUAUUCUCUGAGCCUUUUAUUGGAUGGUAUAUUGUAAUCCCAUGAGCUUGAGGAAAGGAAAGCUUUGUGCUGUGCUGCAUUGGUGUUUUAAGUCUUUGAGCAGUCAAAUGAGCUAAGCUCCUGUGAAUGAAACGCCUGUCCUGCUAAGCCCAAACUCUAAUGUGCUUUACUUGGAAGUAGGCCACUCUUUCAGUGUGAGGAUCUUCUUUUAGUCUGUAGCCACCCCUUGCCCACUAAUGACAUGACCCAGGUAUUCUAUCUGUGGUUGAGCAAAUGAACAUUUAUUCAACUUCACAUAUAGUUGAUUCUGCUUCGGAAGGUCAAAUACUUGCUGCAAAUGGGUGACAUGAUCUUGCAAGGAUUUGCUGUAGAUUAAGAUGUCAUCAACAAAAACAAGUACACAAACCCUAGUCAGCUCAGCCAGAAUUGUGUUCAUAGCACUCUGGAGGGUGGGUGGUGCAUUUGUGAGCCCAAAUAGCCUAAAAUUCAUAGUGACGUGGGUCUUGAAUGCCGUUUUGUAUUCGUCUGCUUCAUGUAAUCUUAUCUGAUGGUAACCAGCUCUCAGAUCCAGCUUAGUAAACCAAACAGCACAAGAUAACUCAUCCAACAAUUCUUCAACUACAGGCAUUGGGUAUUUUAUUAGACGAAUCCAUCUUAUUUCCUUAUUUCUCUGUUUUGGUAGCAGGAGAAGUAGUUUGUUCAGCCCGGACUUCAAAGUAGUCUCCCCCGUUGACCUUCUUUUUUAGAUAGAAUCCUCAAUGAGUGGAAAGGACUCCCAAACUUGCUCCACAGUACUAUACCAUACAGAGCCGCGCCCUUGUGAUAUGAUAAGAAGAAAAGGGGCCAGGCCGCCCUCUUUUCUUUUCCGCACCAAGCCUUCUUGUAAAAUCGGGUGUAUAGCUCAGUUGGUAGAGAAUUGGGCUUUUAACCUAAUGGUCGCAGGUUCAAGUCCUGCUAUACCCAAAACAAAAAAAACCACUCUUGUAUUCGUAAGGAUGCAUAGUAGCCUUCAAAGAGCACUCUUUGGCCUUGAGAAAAGCCCCUUUCUCGUCAACAUCUCGACUUCGCUCGUUGUUUGAGGUAAGUAUAAAGGAGAUCAGACUGGCUCGGUCAUUGAUAGGCCGGCCUUCUCCUUAUUCAUUGGAUAGGGCGCGGGGGAAAGUCAAGUCAAGCACUAGUUAGUUGGGGUGGGACGCACCAAAGCAGCGUUCGUUGCACUAGCGCCUUAUCUUUUGAAGCUAAACAGAGGCUCGAAAGACGGAGUACGUCCGAAGUCGUUGGCUGCCUUUUUGUAGUGCGCAAGUCAGAGUGAACUUCUUCUUCUGUUCUGCGAAUCUACUAACGAGAACUGCCGUACAGUCCUAUCUUUUUUUAAGAAAGAUCGUAGAUGAACGUUUCGUUUCGUUACCUAAGUAGUUGAGCAAUUCAUUCCAAGGUAAACAAAGAGGUAUUUCCUUUUCUCGUUCAGUCCUUCUCUCCUUCCAUCCCAGUAGGCCUAUUCAUGCUUUUUUGCUAUCCAUCUUGAUCAAAUAGAAGAAGGGGAAAUUCAGACUAGGCAAAACACCUCCAAAAGUGAAAAAAAGAUAAAACAACUUUCUUAUUGUCAAGUAGUAAACCAGAGUUCUCAUCCUAGGAAACCAUAUCGAUCAUCGGUUCAGAGCUCCCAACUACGAAGCUCUUUUCUAGAGCGAGUCAACAAUUCGUGGAUCCAUGGUUUGGAUGAAGCUAUGUACCCGGGUAGAGAUGAUUUGUCUCAAAGAUGUUCCGCUCAUCCAAGAAUCUUAAACUUCAUCUACAUAAACUCAUAAAUAGCCCUUUCCUUUCUUUUCUUGACUUAAAAAGGUAAUCAAUCCUUUCUUUUCAUCUUUUAUCAAGUCUUCCUCUUCCUGAUUGAGUCAAUCAGGGAUAGAAAUUCGGAUCAACUAUGAGGAGUAGGGCUGCUGGGCAAGUGAAUGAACUCUGUCCUAGGCAUUUCCAAUAAGUUCAGUGAAGUGAGGGCGAAGCCUUUUUUGAGAGGGAAAAUACACUCCAAAUGAUAUUCCAUAAUGGAAGGAAUGAGUGGAAGAUUUACUGGAAGAAAAAAAUACGAUACUUUUCUAGUCGUAGGUAGGGCUACCUAUCUAGUUUCGUGCUUCGGGCGUACCAGAUUCAAUAGGCUAGGUUAUAGCUGACAGAUUUCUUUAAGAACUAGCCGCCUAUAAGCCUCGCUAGUAGUAUUCCUGCCCAGUGCCGGAGUAGUGACUCACAAGGUAAGUUCUCCUCGAUGCAUUUCCAACACUCUCUUUUUCUACGUACACUUUGGAUUCCUCAGUAGGUAGGGACAACGUUCGAGAUCUCAUCCGACCGUCUAUUUCUCACUGAUUGGGAGAUUGGAUUGGAAUCCGAGGAGAACUGAUUGGAUGUCAUGGAACGAAUGGGGCACUACGUUGGUUACCCACUGCUAGCCUAGCGGAGAUUUCUCUAUUUGUUGAAAGUGGAAAGGAGUCAUAUUUGAAUAGGAAAGUUGGGCUCGUUCACUCACACCUUUCUUUGAUUAUCGAUGACUUGGCUUCUUGCUCAAGUAAGCACCCGGCAUACCAAUUCAUUAUCCUUGGGGCUCGGCUCGCUCCUUCCUAUCUACGUUAUUCUUUCUUUGUUACUCUCGUAAUGACGUUCCGAAAGAAAUCAAGGUUACCAGGUCACAGCUCUGAUUCUUCUUCCCUUAUAGAACCUUCCCGCAAGAAAUCAGUGGAAGUGGGUCCGCCCCUACAACUCAUCAAAUCUGCCUUCUUUUCUGUUCUGCGCUGUACAUAUUCUCAAGUUAUGAGAAAGAAUGGAUUUGAAUGAAAUUUUGAAUUAACAAAAUAAACGAAUGAAGAAUAUUUUUACCUCUUAUCUGAUAAGCAAUCAAAGCAUUUGAACUGCUCAAUGAACAAUAAAGAAAGAGCUAAGGUAAAAAAGUAUAUGUGUUACUAAUAGUAAACCAAUUUUAUUUGGAGUUUGCUUUCAGCUGAACAUGUUAUAACUACAAAUGAGGUGAGGCUUGAUUAGGUGGCUUUGCAAGAACUAGGGAGGAACACAAGUUAUGUACUUUAGGCUAAACAUAUGAAUUUAGAAGAUCAACUUUUCCAAUUGGACAUAAACAAAAGCAACCAAUAAUAUAUAUAUAUAAACUUCCAUAAUAUUUUCUCUAUGGUGAAGUAAUUUCAUCGAUAACCACUAAACGAUUAAGUAGCGAUGUAUGCAAAGCUAGACAACGAACAUUUCAUAAUACACUCGUUCUGCAUAUCUUUAGGAUAAAAGAAAAAACUGCGAAAAAAUAAGUUUUCCUAAAUAAAAAGAUCAAGAAAUCUAUUUUUUAUGGUUCUUAUUUCGUUGAAAACGUUUCCAUGAGACUUUCUUUCAUUGAAGAAGUCCAUGACUUGUUCUAGGUGAUAUGAGGUUGAACAGGCUUUAGAAAAAAUGCAAAGAAGGGUACAUGAGGGUGGAAUAAAAAUCAAAAAGAUGACCCCUUCUUUCUUCCUGAGCAUUACUGAUAAAUAUUCAUUCUUUAUACGUUAGGUUGGGUUUCAGAUGUAUAUCAUUUAUUAUAUGAAACCAAAAAGAAGAAAUGACAAGAAAGUUGUAUAUAGAUGGAGGAAUAAAUUAUGAUGUGGAAAACAAGGCUGGGGUUCAAAUCCUGUCAUCCCUACCUAUUACUUCUCCUAUGGGCAGUAACGAGGGAUCAAUUGAGAUCGAUUCAAAUUGGACAAAAUUCAGAGUUUCAUUUUUCUAUAUGCAUGCGGUACAAAAAUCAUCCUUUUCUUUACUGCUUUAUCUCCCGGAAAGCGCUCUUAGUUCAGUUCGGUAGAACGUGUGUCUCCAAAACCCAAUGUCGUAGGUUCAAAUCCUACAGAGCGUGAUUCUGUUCUUGUUAUGUCGAAUCAAAAAAAAAGAACUUAACAAAGUGGAAUGUACGACUACUGUUCUUAACCCAAAUCAAAGAAAACAACAGAAAUACUCGACCUGGAGAGGAGACCACUGACCAAUCUCCGUCCAUUUUCCCUUGCCUUUCCUUUACGGGUAUGCCUGUUUUAGGGGACCUUAUAGUAAUAAUAGUCUAAUAGACCAACUAGAAGAGGAGAGGAAUCCUUCAUGAAUCACCUUGCCUUGCUGAAAGAGGUUUAUUAAAAACCGCCCAUGGAACUCUUGUUUUGAGGAAGCAAUGAACAUUGUCUUUUUCCANNNNNNNNNNCAAGACUUGACCAAAAGCUCCCCACAAUUUCUUGAUUUGAAGCAGUUCGGAGGCCUUCUUCUAGUUACGAUUCGCCCUCGUCUGUCACUAUAGAUGUUCUAGCUUUAGUCUUUAGUGUCAUUUCGAGUUAUGCAUUUGGAAUGCUCCCCUUCCAAGCAAACUAAACUAACCUUGCUAAGUGCUAGCCAGGUGAAAGUGCUUUUCGCUAGUAGUUUUGGUGUUCUCUUCCCUUUAAUCCAAUUGAAUCAAUCGAUCAGAAGAACAAGAACAAGAAGGCACUGUACUUUUAAUAGGCCCUACUUCCGAGACCUCUAUCUCUAUUUAUUUUCAUUCUUCCCUUUGGUCAGAUACUAGAAUAUAGUAUUUUUAUUGGACAUCCUCCUCACUAUUGAAAUUAGGGAAAACCGGAUCAGUAAACUAUUGCAUCUAAGGGAACAGAGCAGCAGAUCCCGGGAUAAGAAAGAUACAGAAAUAUGGAACUUCACUGCCUUACUUGGAAAGCUAAGCAGGUUAUUGACCCACUAAUCUUACCUUCCCUCAAACCUUCCACUGAAAAGAGCAGAUCCCAGAAAAAAGGAUAGCGAAUGAUCGAUUCACCAUUGAUAGCAUUAACCCUAAAAGGAGGGAUGAAGCACAUGCCACCACAUCCACUAAAGAGAAGGAAAAGAGAAAAGAGAGGCGCCAGGUCCAAGAAGGUAUGGAAAAGGCAUUAGAGGUUUGAUUCGCUCAAGGUUUUGAACAACAAGUCAGGUAAACCACCAGUUAAUACCAACCACGGUUGACUUGAUUUUCGAUAGAUUGAAAUGCUUUCAAAUUCAGCAUGGUUGUGAGAUUAAUCGUACCCACCCGGCUAGGUCACCUGCGAGACUCGCUAAUAUACUACUUUCUUUCAGGCAAUGCAAAAAAUAUGGUUUCUAGUACCUCACUAACCACUGCUCGCGAGAAGCAUGGGGGGAGUCUAGAAGCACGGCGGGAGUCUAGAUAGAAGGGUUUUCAAUAAUGGUGGUUCGUUGCCUCACCGUAAUAAGUGCCUUAGUACUUUCGAGUCUAAGGGGCGUGAGUUAGAGGCACAAUAUUCUUUCUAUACAGUCAACUAGCAGCCCUAGCUAAUUGAGCAUCAAUCACUAUUUCUCUAAGUCAUAACUAGUACCUCCCUUGUGGCGAAACCAAUGGUUCACUUGAUUUCUAAAGAACAGCUUUCGUCGUACGGCAGGGCCAAGGAUAUAUAUGCCCUUCUCUUCAUUGCUUUCCUGAAAUGCGUAAGUAAUCACCUUCGAAAUGGUACCAAAAGGCCGGCUCAAAUCGUCUAUUACAGCCUGGUGGAACCUAUUCUUCGACUACUUCUUCCUUCGACUAGCGUGCUUAGAUAAAAUACAACGGUACCUAUAUCGCUCGCUGUUGAAAUUGUAGUUUAGGUGGACUGUAUGUCUUUACAUCUUCUCCGGCCGAUCGGGGUCUCCAAAGUAAGCAAAAAAAGGAGUAUUGACAGCCAUCUUAUGUUGUUUGUCGGGAUUCAUUCUAACCAGAGUGAGCUCACGGACCACCUUCGAACGAAAGUGAACUCUCUUCCUCCGAUCUCUAUAAUGGGUCUAGUAACUGCUUUAGCUGCUCGUCUCACAAUUAAGUUGGUGGGUGCUUGGUCCAUCUUCUUAUUCCAAAGCUCCGAGAUGAAUUCAAUCUUAUCUUACUGGGGCUCUCCCCUUCGGUUUGAAGAAGACCGCGCAUGCUUAUUCUCAAACUGGUACACACUUUGGUAUUCUACCCUGCAUCAAAGAAUAGGCCUCAACACUUUGAGUGUGAAAUCCAGCUACUCUGCUAUCGCCUCCUGCGCGAACAGCUUUCGAGUAAGAAAGUUCAAAUGCAUUUUUACACCUAUUGAAGGAAUUGAAUGGAAUAGAAAAAAAAGAGUGGUAUGGAGACUUGAUAUUGUACCAAUACUUUAAAGUAGUACAGAGGAUACUUCAUAUUGUACCAAUACACAUUCAAAUCACUAUCACCAAUUUCUUACAGGAUUCAGACUUUAAUCAAUAAAAGCGCGUACUAUUUAUUACCACCAGGAAUGGAAAAAGAGUACUAUGUGGAUCUGGUGCGACUACAGAAAAUGGAGCAUUGGUACAACUGAUCUUCACAGGAGAGCGGUAUGCUUAAAGCCAAGAGUGCGGCUUAAGCACCACCUUACCUUAAGAGCAGUCAAAGCUAUAAGCUGGUAUAUCACCCUACAACAAUUUUUAAGCUGGUUUGCCUCCACCAUUGGAUUUGGUUGCAGCUCGCACCGACACCUCGCAGUUUGUGUACAAGGUUGGUAGUCACACUGCUUACCUCCUAUUAUAUGUCGAUGACAUCAUCCUUACAGCCUCCAGUGAUGCUUUCCUUCGCCACAUUAUCGGUCUUCUUCAUGAAGCUCGACAAGAACCUAUUUUCUGUUUUCUUCUGUAUCGGGCCAAAGGGCAUGACUCUGACAUGACUCUCAAUGGCGCUAUUCCGUCAUCAGAUAGCUCGGUUGCAGCUCCGGUUCCAGGUUUCGAUUCCAUUCGUUUCAUAAUUUCUUAUAAGUGAUGUUAUGUUACAUUUUGACUGAGGAUUGAAUAAGUUGGGUCAUGAGAAUGGAAGUUGACCCAUGGAACUCUUGUUUUGAGGAAGCAAUGAACAUUGUCUUUUUCCAUUCUCAAUAAAUGAGGAAGGAGGGGUGAGGUCCUCACUUGCGAGUGAGGCAAGGCUUUCUUUUAUAAUACAUCCUACCCGAUUUUGGUUGACGAUUGCGUUCUAUUCCAAUUAUUCACUUGUUUUUCUUGUCACUGUGGCGAGACCAGAUGAGAGAGAGAACUAUUUUCCAUUUCCAGACAGACCCCGAGCCGAGGUUGGAACAAUUCUUUAUUUUCUUGUUGGUUCCUUCUUUAUUAUUUAUUCCAAGUUUUUCUCUUCCAUUCGGUUCAUUAGCUUUAGGAAAAAUAGAAGCUGCGGAAAUGCUCGCUUCUAAAAGGCUUAAAGGCUCUGAUCAAGGCAAUGAACAUUUUGCACUUGGAAACUAAUAAGAAAGGAAUUCAAAUCAUAGUUCAAUACAGACUUUUUCUCUUUUAAGAAGGGUGAAACUUUCCUUCCAAUACUUGUGCGCUCUACCCAUCUCUACUGAACAAACCCACUACACAUCGAGUGGCAGGGUAUGUGAGUAGGCCUUUUCAAGGACAUUCGAAACAACAUGUCGAUAAAUUGCUAUAGAAAGUGGGGCUAGAUCGAGAGUUCUGACCUUUUCAUGGGUUGGGUGAUCUUCAAACUCUUGUUUUUCUAGCGAAAGAACGCCCUUCUGAGCGAUGAUCUCCUACAAGCGAGUAUAGUAAGGUUGACUUCAAUUGAGACAGAAAUGUCACUGGUCAGCUCCUUAGCGUGACAAUUAACACCACUUUCUUAUUACCUAAUAGAUUAGAUAAGGGAAGAAGGCAGGCCAAAGCUUAUAGAUUCGGAGAUCGUACUUCUAACGCUUUGUCUGAGUCAGUCCUACGACCCCUUCCGGCUGAGACACGAAUCCUAGCCUAUCUGAGUCGCGGAAUGAAGGGCUCUUCAGAAGGCGCCACCCAAGUCUCCUUUGAUACUUCGGAGUCAGGAAUUUUUUUUCCAAGGAAGGCGGAUUUUCUGCGUUCCGCAGCACGAACAGGGUGUACAGAAGAUCGAUGUGCCAUCUUUCUAACCACCUUCAUUUGUUGUAUGAUCAGUAGGGAAGGGAGCCUUUGAUAAAGGGACCCCAAACCAAGAAAUCUACUGUCUCAGAGCGACAGUCAAGCUCGUAUCGCGGAACUAGAACAUUUCUUUGAUUGAUAGGUCAGAUAGGAAGCAGGCAAGCAAACCAAGUUAUAGGUUUGGAAGUUAGAACUCGGAAAGGUUGUCCUGUGACUACCUUUGAAGUCUUUGGGUAGGACAUCAGGCUAAGGUCUUAUGAUGAGCCACGCGCAUAUGAGGUUUACUGCAGCCCUAAAGCUCUGUCCCCUAUCCUACCACUAGAUCUCCUAUGCCGGAACAUGAACAGAGAAAGCUGUGAGUGUAGUCUUAGGAACGAACCCGGGGUUGCUCUCGCAAAAAGAUUGUACUAAAGAAAGCUAGAAAGCUCAAUUCCAAGCUUUAAACCUCUGGUCCACGGGUCGGUGAACGAAUGGGUUUUGGGAAAUAGAGAACAUGGACUCGAUUGAACAAAGGUGGCACCGGAAUGAAUAGCCCACUUGUUUCGGGCAAGAAUGAAUGGGACUGAUCGACUCGAGUUACCGAGCGACCUCCACUCUUCGACUCGAGCUUUCGCUUCUGCUUUUCUCUUGUUUUGAUUUAUUAGCUUUUUAGGGAAAGAAGAGGGUCUGAAAUACAACUAUGUCUACGAGUGCCGCGAAUGAACCUUCGGUUCUUCCCAAGAACAAGGAGACACGAACUAAAUAACUCGUAUCAGGCUACGGGAAUAGUGAACGGGAAGAAGGAACUAGUGAGGCUUUCGUUGGUCAAACAAUAUGCCCUCCUCACUUGAGGAGAGUGAAGGUCAUGACUUAUUGAAGCAGAACGUCAAUUGGCCAAGAGAAGGGGAACUCCUUUCGUCGGUAACUAUUGAAUUGCCUAUCUAACAGUGGAGCGAAGCGGAACGUUGAACGGGAAACUCGUGUCGUCGGUUAUCCAAUUUCCCUCCUUUCUGUUUCGACAAAGAAAACGUUUAGGUAUCGGUAAUAGGAUUCCCACUAUGAUUUGAAGAAAAAGAUAGAUUCUACAAUAAUCCAUAAAUAAUAUACAGAAUCAGGCUCCGUAAUCAAGUGCUCGCUGUGAGAAGAAGAUCUACAGGCAUGUACCCAUUUCUCCAUGCAAAAUAAGUUUGAACCCGAGUGAGUAUGGACCAUACGCUCAUCUUUCUUCUCAAUCUACACCUCGUUCCGCGAGAGACCUAUCCUCGUUUCGAAAUAAAGGACCGUAGUGAGGAUCGAUCCCGGAUAAGCGAGUCAGUGUAGGGACAGAGGCUGAUGAUUCUAAAGGUGAUUUCUAACUACAAGAUGACUUUAUUUGAAAACGGAAUCCAAAUAUCAACAAAAAGAUGAAUGGAAAGUCUUGUCGAUAUGAAUUGAUCUUCAACCCAAUGACAAUGCUUCGAUUUCGAUCUUUACUUCUUUCUUGGAUGCCUGAAGUUUGUGUUCGCAUUUCAUCAAAGGAAAAGUGGGCUGUACCCACAUGAAGAAAAGAGUUGCUCGUGUAAAAGCAAUAUCUUCUAUUUGACUUAUCUAGCCGUGUCUUGUCUUGCACAUACUCGGCUCGGUGAAUGGUUCAUCUUCGAUUGGCAUGGUCCUUUGGAUGUAAGAGAUCUCGUUUGCUGGCCGGGCCCUU